UUUGAUCAAGUUUGAACAUGAUUGUGAUUUGACUCUAGUUUUAUAUGCUAGAGAAUCAAAUAUUUUGGGAAUUGGGAUGUUCAUGAAAAUUGAAUUUGAGUUUAGUUUAACGACAUUUCGGUCGAUAUCGGAUUUAGGUUUAGUUUAACGACGUUUCGGUCGAUUGAUUUGGUGGAUUAGUUUAACGACGUUUCGGUCGAAGGUUUGGGUUUGGUUCACAAGGUUUAUGGUAUUGGGUAUAUGGGAUUAUGGUUCAUGAACUUAGAUAUGGUUCAUGGGUUUAUGGUUCAUGGACUUAUGGUUUAUGGGUUUGGUUCAUGGGCUUAUGGUUCAUGAACUUGUGGUAUGGUUCAUGGGUUUAUGAACUUGUGGUUCAUGGGCUUAUGGUUCAUGAACUUGAUUCAUAGUUUGUGGAUUUGGUGUAUGGUAUGGUCCACAGGAUUUGGUAUAUGGUUUGGUCCAUGGUUUUAGUUCAAAGUUCAUGGACUUGGUUAAGGUUAUGGGCUUGGAUAUGGGUUAAAUGUGUAUGGGUUUAUGGGUAAAUGUAUAUGGGUUUAUGUAUAUGGGUUUAUGGGUUAAUGGUUUUAAUGAGUUUUGGAUAAUGGGCUUAGAUAGUAGGCCUAAAUGGGUUUUGGACCGGGGCCAUUUGUAAAUGGGCUCUGGGCUUUGGACUAGGCCUAGAUUUAAUUGGAUUGGGUUAUAGUAUAUGGGUUUAGAAUUGGGCUAAGGUUUAAUUGGAUUGGGUUAUAGGUUUGGGUUUUGUAGAUUGGCUAUUGGGUUUGAUUUGAGCUGAAAUCGAGCCCGUAAAGCUAUAUGUAAAUAGGCUAUAUGAUAUGGAUUCUGGUGGGCUAAAUUCAGGCCCAUGAACCCGAUUUAUUUCAUUUUGGAUAUGGAUUCGGGCUCAAUACGGGCUCAUUUCAUUUUGUAUUCGGGCUCAAAAUGGGCCAAAUCAUUUUGAAGUGGAUAUGGAUUUAAUAUGGGAUUUAGAUUUGGGCUCAAUAUGGGCUCAAUUGGAUUUAAAAUGAGCUCAAUUUGUAUGUGAAUUUUAGGUUUAUUUGGGUUUAGGAUUUGGGAUUGGUUUGAUUAUGGAUUUGGGCCUUGGACUUUGGAUUGGGUUUUGAUAUGGGUUUGGGCCUUGGACUUGGGAUUGGGUUUUGAUAUGGGUUUGGGCCUUGGACUUUGGAUUGGGUUUUGAUAUGGGUUUGGGCCUUGGACUUUGGAUUGGGUUUUGAUAUGAGUUUGGGCCUUGGACUUUGGAUUGGGUUUUGAUAUGGGUUUUAGGAUUUGAAUUCGGAUUUGGUAUUGGAUUUGAUUUGGAUUUGGAUUCGAGUCGGGUUUGGAUUCGAAUUUGGAUUCGAAUUCGAAUUUGAUUCGUAUAAUUUUGUCGAGUUUGAAUUUGAGUCUAUAUGAAAUCAAAAUAUUUCGGUAUCUGAUUCAAAAUCAAGUUCAUCCAAGUUUGUCAAUUCCUCAAUCGUAUACGAUAUCCAACCAAUUUGAUCUAAUUCGAUCAAAUUGAACAGUUCCAUUAUUUUCGAACACUAUCAAAUCAAAAGAAUAUUAAUAAAAAAUCUAAUUAAUUUUCUUUUAUUUCUCCACUGAAAGAGAAUUAAGAGAAUAUUUUUUCUCUGUCUCUUAAAAAAUAAGAUGCAUCAUUCAUCAUCAUCAUUUUUUUACAUCUUGGGGACAACUAAGGUGGGAAGAUCCCUCCUUUGCCUCCCUCUUUUUUUUUACAAAGCUCCCUCUCUCUUUCAUAAUCAUGAUUAGAGAAGUACUAUCUUUCUCUCUCUCUCUCAAAUAUAUAUUUUUUGAAGAGCACCGCUCUUUCAUUUUUUAUAAAGAGAAGAGCACCGCUCUCUCUCUUUAUUCGCCGCCGAGCACUUGGCGGGCGGAUCUAACUUCAUUUGAGAGGAGAGCACCGCUCUCUCUCUCUCAGGUUCGCCGUCGAGCGGUUGGUGGGCGGACUCCGGGUACAUCGAGCACUUGGCGGGCGGAACCGGGCGGAACCCGUUUGAGAGGAGAGCACCGCUCUCUCUCUCAGGUUCGCCGUCGAGCAGCUGGCGGGCUUUGUUGAUGACGGAGCUCCGGUUUCAUUCAGGAAUUUCGUCGAACAGUUGGUAGGCAUGGUUCGUCGGUGCGAACUCCGUCAAAGCGACAUCCUGGACAUUUCAUCAAACAAGUGGUGGACGUGUCCCGUCGGCGUCCACUCUGCCAGAACCAUGUCCUAAUCAGCUUUGUAGGUGGCGAGGGUGUUCUCGGUGGCCUCCUUCUACUCGGCCCCGGUCUUGAACUCGACGUCGAUUCAAAUGGUAUCAUCUUCGUCAUGGAGGAUCAAGGAUCCGUUGGCGGUGCACGAGAUGCAGCGGUUGCUGGCGGAAAAGAAGAAUUGCUCACUGCGGACUUAAAUCGAACACCUGGUGUGCGGGGGAUGAAGCAGGAGAGGAGCAGGAUGAGGAAGGAGCAGGUGGCCUCGGCGGUACAGAGGUCAGCGAGGAACAGGCAGCCUCGGAACGGGCAGCCUCGGAGCGGGCGACCUCGGAGGGGGCGGCCUCGGAGCGACGACCUCAGCGGCGCAAGGGUCGGCAAGGAGGCGACGUCUUCAGCGGCGCAGGGGUUAGCGAGGAGGCGGCAGCCUCGGGUAGUUGAAGUUGGCGAGGAGCGACGCGGCCUCGGGCGCAGGGGUCGGCGAGGAGCGACGGCCUCGGGUAGUUGGGGUCGGCGAUGAAGCGAGCGGCUUCGGCGGCGGAUCGGCGAGGGAACAGCCGGAAGCAAGCGGCGACCUCGGUAGACGGAUCAGCGCGGAAGCGGGCGGCUUCAAGCAGAUCGGCCGCGGGUGGCGCGGCUUCGAGUCGAGGACGGCAGCGGUGGCGCUUCAAGCAGAUCGGCCGCGGGUGGCGCGGCUUCUAGUCGAGGACGGCGAGCUCGGUGGAGUCCGCGGCCAUGUGCGCAGAGAAGUCGAGGAGCGGCGGCGAUGGCGGCUCGUGGUGACGUCGGAGUCGAUGCCGUCGCGGAGAUCGCAAAUGAGUUUGGGGCGAAGUCCGCGGCCAUGCGCGCGGAGAUUGUCGAGAAGUGACGCCCCGGGCCGAGGCGUCUCGGAGUGACGUGGGCAUGUCUCGGAGCAGACGACCUUAGCGGCGCGGUGCCUCGGAGCAGACAAGGGGGGGGACCUUGGAGCGAGCUCGACGGUCGGUGCGGUUCGGCUUUGGAGCAGACAAGGGGGCCUUGGAGUGAGCUCGACGGCCGGUGCGGCUCAGCCGCAGCAUGGACGGCCUUGGGCUCGAAGGUGGUGCAGCUCGGCCUCGGUUGGAGAGGGAUGACGCGGCGGGUGAUGGAGCAGAUCGGCCGCGGGUGGCGCUUCAAGCAGAUCGGCCGCGGGUGGCUUCGAGUCGAAGACGGCAGCGGUGGCGGCUUUAGGCAGAUCGGCCGCGGGUGGCGCGGCUUCGGGUCGAAGACGGCAGCGGUGGCGGGGACACGGCGGAAGGGCUCGGCCGACUCCAUGAUGAGCUCGGUGGAGCUCGGUGGGGUGCUCGCGGAGCUUCGGCGGAAGCGCGAGGAGCGCGUCGCGGCUCGAUCGGCAGAGAAGUCGGUGGAGCGCCUCGGCGCGGAGAGCUCAAGGAACUCGAGCGCACGGAGACAUCGAGGAGGCGGCGAGGGCAAUGUCGUCGAGGGCAGGGGCUCGGCGGAGGAAGCAUCGGUGAGUGCUUGAGAGAGAGAGAGAGAGAGAGAGAGAAAGAAAAGAGAUCUCAGAGAUCUGAGAUCUCUUUUUUUUUCUUUUCCUUCUUUCUUCUUUUUUUUUUUUUUUAGCCGAGAGAGAGAGCUUUGUUUUCUUCUUUCUUUUUUCUUCUUUUUUUUCUUUUUUUUUUUUGAACGGGAGAAAGAGAUAAUAUAUUUUUUUUACCUUUUCUUUUUUUUUUUUUUUUUGCGAUCGACAGAAUAGGGUAGAAAUUUUUUUUUAGAUUUCGCAGAUUCAAAAACUCUCUCUUGUUUGAUUUUUCGAGGGGUAUUUAUGGAGGUGGUUGUAACCAACCUGAGGGAGACGUGCGGAUGGAUCGUGGGAUGCGGGUGGUUGUAAACAAUUUGAGGGAAACGUGCGUAUGAAUCGUGGGAUGGUUAUGGGAUCGUGGGUAAUCGUGAUAGGAUUGUGGGAUGAUGGGUGGUGGGUAUAGGUUGUUACGAUAGUAUCGUGGGAUUGUGGGAGAGAUUUUGGAUGGUUGAGAUGAGAUUGUGGGGUAUUUUGGACGGUUGUGAUGAGAUUAUGAGAUAUUGGGUGGUUAGGAUGGGAUUGCGGGAAUAUUGCGGAUUAGUCCUUUCCCUUUGAUCAUAUUACAUCUUAAUAAAAAUAUUAUAUGAUUAAGGUGGGGCAUUUUGUAAAUAUAUAAAAGGGAAUAGACUAAUAUGCUAUUUUAUAUUCCCGUACGUAUUAUUUUUUUGCAAUCCGGUGCAUGGGAUAUUUUCAAAAUUUAAAUUUUAUCCAUGCACCUGGUGCAUAGAUGAUCUCAUAAACCAUCUCUAUUUAUUAUUUUCUCUCUCCCCUUUUUUCUUUUUCUUCUUUUAUUCCUCUCUCUUUUUUUAUGCUUCAACAAAUGCCCCCCACCUUUUCAAGCUUGUGAUUUAAACAAGGUGGAAAAAAGUGCCGAUCUCCUUUCACUAUUCCGACCUUCAUAUCGCCAUCCGGGGUUUGAUCAUCAAAGAUCCAAGGUAUUUAUAUAUUUCGUUUUUUUGAUCUCUUUUGAUGUUAUAUAUACAUAUUUGCAUUCAUAUUUGAGAUCUGUACGAGACAUAUUCAAACCUCUGAAUAGAUUUCGUAAUUUUUUCUAGAUCAUGGGAAAAACGAAUGAACCAUUAAUUCAUCCCGAUGAUAGAAAUUUAGGCGUAUUUAGAGGACUUUCUUUAAUGCGUUCGCCUCCGAUAUUUGGGCGUUCCGCUGAACCCGUCAUUCCUUAUGAGACGCCUAUGUUAAAAGAAUGGGCGAUAUUUAAGCAGAAGCAAUUAUUGGGUCGUUUCGGAGUUGAUUAUUAUGCUCCCGAUUGUGACGGCGACGUCAUAUUAUUGCCCCCUAUAGGACCUCCGAAAGAAAGAGACACGUUACAAUCUCUCGGCUAUAAAAUACUUAAUAAUCAUCCUGGAUGGUGUGGAAUGAGUAGGGUUUUAGGGGACAGCAUUGAGGUAGAGGGUUUAAUUGAAUGGGGAAAUCAUAUCAUCUCUCAUUACACCACAUAAUUACGUCGUGCUGGCAUUUUAGGGGGUAUCGUAGCUUCACGAGGGAGAUACAAUAAGAAUAUGAAUAUCAUCAAGGCAUUGGUAGAGCUGUGGUGUUCGGAGACAAAUACUUUUCAUCUUCCAUUUGGUGAAGUUGGGAUUUCUUUAUGGGAAAUUAGAGAACUCGGUGGGCUCCCGAUUAUCGGUGACAUGUACGACGAAUAUAUCCCUCCAAAUUCUGAACUUUAUAGUAAGAAUAAUUAUCCCAGUUGUGUUAGGGAGCUUUUUGAUGUUUAUCAAUGGCUCAUGGCUCGAUCUUCUAACAAGCGUGUGCGGUAUGAUUUAUGGGUAGAUUUCUUUUACACAAGCUGUAAAAAGUUGACUAAGUCUAAGUCUCGGAGUAUAAGCAAUAGAGAGCUCGCUCCCUCAUAUACGGAAGAUACGACUCGAGCGGCCUUCAUUUCUUUAUGGUUAUGCAACUUCGUAAUGCCUUCUGGAUUAGACCAUUUCAUCAGGCCAGAGACGUUUAUUAUGGCUUCUAAGCUGGCAUUAGGUGAGAAAGUUGCUUUAGCCCCUGCCAUUCUUUGUGCGAUCCAUGCUGGUUUAUCAUUUAUGAGUGAUCACCCUGAAGGACCUGCGCAUCCUGGACCUCAAUUUCCCGUUAAUUUUCUAUAUGCGUGGAUCGGUCUUCACUUUGAACAGACUUAUUCUAGAAAGGUGAUUAGUGAGAAUAUCAAGAAUAUCGUCGGCUUACGAAGUCCUCCUCAAAUGAUAUUUUUUAUGGACGCGGCGGCUUCUCCUUUUAAUGCUAAGCGAGCACGGAUUUACCUCAGGUCGAGUGCUCAUUUUGUUUGGCGUCCUCUACCAUAUUCUUAUUCUUUUGUUGAUGACGGUUGGCUUUACGAUGCGAAAUUGGCUCCAGGAGAGUGUAAAUAUCCGAGAGAGGUUUAUGAGUAUAUAAUUUCUAUCAGACAGAGCGUGCUUCCACUUCGUUUGGGGAAUAAAUUACACACCCAGCCAUAUAAUCCUCAUCGUUUUGCUCGACAAUUUGGCUUUGAUCAGUCUUUUCCUGAAAGUAUCACUGUUCCCCGAUUAGCGAGCCAUCUUGGGAUACUUGCUGGAUGUUGGAAUCAUUUCAUUCGCUAUGGGACUUCUAUUAAUUAUUUCAUACCGAAGAAGGACCGGAUUGGGAAACCAACUUUGCAUUAUGCGCGCUGGUGGUCUAAUAGUGUGCAUUCGAGCUUCAAACACGGAGUAGGCUAUCUACUGAGUGCAGAUGAUCCCCGCAAGCAGCAGAACAAGAAGAGUAUUGUUUUAAAGGAAAGUUCAGCUUCUGCAAGGAAAUUGGGUUCUUCGGGUAUUAUCGCUGAAAGAGCACUAGAUUCUCUGGGGCCAGAGGCGGAGCAGCUCGACUUAUUUCCAGAGUAUGAUCAUGUUCAAGUUGGUCCUUCCGAUGACUCUCCUAGAUAUGAAGUUCUUGGUCUCAGUUUCCCCAUUCAUGAAGACAAGACAUCAGAGGUAUGUUCAUUAACAUUUUCAAUUAUCUCUUUUUUUUUCUUUUGCGUUCUGACCUUCUUCUUUUUUUUCUGUAUACAGGAAGUGUUUGUUACAGGUUCGCCUGCCGGGGAUAAAAUACACUUGCAAGACCCUUCAGUGAAGUCACAGGUAUGACGUAGAAUCCAUAUAAUUUAAAUUUUGUUGAUUCCUUCUGACAUCCUUUCUUUCAUGUAGGCAUGCGAUAUGGAACCGUCAAGGAGCUCAGAAAAUCUACCCUUGGAUGUUCCAACUAAAGUGGCUCGUGGAAAAGUUCCCAUUACGGUGUCUUCAAUGAUAGGUAAUUUUUUAUAUUCAUAUUCUGUUAGUAAUUAAUUUUACAUGAUGUCGCCGCACUUGUUCUUUGCUUUUUUAAUUCACAGAAUCACAAGCUGGCGGGAGUGGAUCCAUUGAGGAUGACGUGCCUUCAGAUGAUGAGUUGGUUCUGACGCCUUCGCCACCACAGGUAUUUUAUUUUCUAGUUGAAUCCAUGUCCCUUCUUUUGGUUUCAAAUUAAGAAUUUGAUUCUCAACUAAAGAAGGAGGUAAAAUAUGGAUAAUAAUGUGUAAUUUUUUGUCAGGAAUCCGUAGCAACAAAAAUUUCGCAAAUCGGAGUUAAAACGAAAAUGUUAUGGCCCGUUUACACUUUGGUCCCUGUAUUUACGAAACAGUCCCUGCGGGCAGUUUCAUUUCAGUUCCUGCAGUUUUAUUUUAGUCCCUGCAGCUUCAUUUCCCUUACUUUUUGAUGCAGAAAAUUACCUUCAAGGAAUUUUAUGGCUAUAACGAUGCACAUUUUGGGAUUAAAAUAUUAUAACCCCUUUCAUAAUAUAUUCGUUAUUCCUUGUUUUUACAAAAUGGUCCUUGUAGCAUAUAUCGAUAUGUGAUUCUUUUUGUCACAGGAUCCGCUCACCGCUGCUGCUGAUAUUGGAGCGUCAUCUUUCAAGGAGGCUUGCUUGACUCAUCAUGAAGUAUAUUUGUAUUUAUUAUCCCAACUUUCAUUUUAUAUCGCUCAUGUUUACACCGCAAUUUUAUUGUGUAGGAUGAGGGUGCUGAAGAAGAUGACGAUAUAGUAGAAGAUGGCAAAAAUGAAGUCUUGCCAGGAUCGUCUUUACUUGGUAAAAGAGAACGAGUCGAUGAUAUUCCGGCUACAGAGGUGCAUAAAAGAGCUCGUUUGGAGGCUGAUUCAAAAUCAACCGGUAAAAUCCUCCCCUCUUUUUUUUAAAAGACAGUAUCUUUUACAUAUUUAUUAUUUCUUUUUAUAUGCAGACCUUCCGGUAGAGUCAAAAUUGGAUUAUGAUCUGAUAGACGCUUUAUCACCUUAUGGCGACGAAGUGGACUACGAGCCUACACCUUCACCACCUGAAGCUCCUGAUAUGGUAAGAUUUAAAUAUUUUCUUCUUUCUUUUUUUUCUUUUUUUUUUUUUUAAUUCUUUUCUUUCUCUUUUUAUAGGGCGUACCACUUGACGAGGACGUCGGCAUUAACGUGAGUAGCGGUACAGGAGGUUUCCAGAGUGAGGUGCCUAUUGCGGUCAGAUCAUUUUUGAUUGACCGCAUAACGGAUAUCAUGAAGACAUUCGACCGUCGACGAUUCAGAUCAGCUCGAGAGGAAGUGUCCAAGUAUUGUCAGUGCAUUUCCUCACUUGGAAUUGAUGUAUCUGAAUUGGAUGGGCGUAUAAAAUCCGUGUUUGAUCAUGCCGAGGUCAUUGAAGAAUUAGAGUCAAGUCCGAGUUUCGCUUCAGCUGUUCGGCUCGUGAAUGCUGAUGAGGAUCUGGCGCUAAAGAAAAGGAAGCUUGCUUCUCAUAUCAGCACAAAAAGUUCUAUUCUCAAAGCUUCAGAAGGUGUCUCUUUGGAGCUUCAGCAGACUAGAGAGAAAAUAAGAGAGCUUGAGGAGCACAUUUUGCAGUUAAAGAGUACAGAAGCAGAGUUGUCAUUUAAACUCGAAGUGGCCAACGACUCUUUAAAGAAAUUAACGCCGACUGAAGAAGAACUGCAGAAGGACGUUGCUGAUGCGGAGAGGGAAUAUGCUGCAGCCACUGAAGAUUGUAAAGCUUCCAAAGAAUCCGCCGGUCUCCGAGGAUUGAUAGAGCUAUUUGAGGAGCGUCGUCAGAUAUUUGAGAUUUGAUUUUCCUUUACUUUUCUCUUUUUGGAUGUUUAUCGUGGAUGUUAUCUUUAUUUGUCACUAGUAUGAGACAGUAUUUGAUAAUUUGAAUGACUUUGAUUGUGCUUGAAUGUUUGAUCUCUUCCUCCUGUCUUUAUCUCAUACUGCAUUGUGACGAUGAUUGUCUUGCGAGGAUGGUUUGUUUCUUUUGCCUUGAUUCUCACGUACAAUCAACUCUAAAUUGAGUCAUCACUCUGUUGUCUGGACAAAUAUGCUAUCUUCUCAGCGCUCUUGUAGCGAUAACAUGUACACUGCCCCUUUUUUUUUUUUUUUUACAUCAAAAAAAAAAAAUGGUCAAUCGAAAUUAAAAUAUUCAGUUUAACGACAUGGCGGUCAAAUUACAUCAAAAUGCUCAGUUUAACGACAUGGCGGUCAAAUUAUAUCUGAAUGCUCAGUUUAACGACAUGGCGGUCAAAUUAUAUCAAAAUGCUCAGUUUAACGACAUGGUGGUCAAAUUACAUCAAAAUACUCAGUUUAACGACAUGACGGUCAAAUUACAUCAAAAUGCUCAGUUUAACGACAUGGCGGUCAAAUUAUAUCUGAAUGCUCAGUUUAACGACAUGGCGGUCAAAUUAUAUCAAAAUGCUCAGUUUAACGACAUGGCGGUCAAAUUAUAUCGAAAUGCUGCCUUUUGAAAGCAAUCGAAAUUGCUGCGCAUAACCGACACUAUGGUGAGUUAGCAUUCCGUCAUAAGCAAAAUAUAUUUUGGGUAAUAGAAAAUAUGAAUUAUUUUUAUUUAUUUUGCCUUGAGGAGCAAUCGAAAUUGCUGCGCAUAACCGACCCUAUGGUGAGUUAGCAUUCCGUUAUAGGUAAAAUAUAUUUUGGGUAAUAGAAAAUAUGAAUUAUUUUAUUUAUUUUGCCUCGAGAAGCAAUCGAAAUUGCUGCGCAUAACCGACCCUAAGGUGAGUUAGCAUUCCGUCAUAGGCAAAAUAUAUUUUGGGUAAUAGAAAAUAUGAAUUAUUUUUAUUUAUUUUGCCUCGAGAAGCAAUCGAAAUUGCUGCGCAUAACCGACCCUAUGGUGAGUUAGCAUUCCGUCAUAGGCAAAAUAUAUUUUGGGUAAUCGAAAAUAUGGAUUAUUUUUAUUUAUUUUGCCUCGAGAAGCAAUCAAAAUUACUGCGCAUAACUAACCCUAAGGUGAGUUAGCAUUCCGUCAUAGGCAAAAUAUAUUUUGGGUGAUCUGGCGCCCAUAUGGGUUUUCACCAGAUACCUUCCCCUAACUUUUGCCUGUGAGCCUCGAAAGGUUUUCUCACAGCGGGGAUCCCAAUUUUGCCUGUGGGGUUAUACCACAGCCGGGAAUUUUUUGCAUUUUUACCCUUGAAGUCCAAUAUGGACAAUCAAGUCCGCUGGUGGCUCAUCUUUUACCCAUAUUAUCUAAAAAAAAUUAGAUAACAUGUCCUCCAUUUUUUUUAUUUUAUACAUAAUAUUUCUUUAAGAAACGGCCGUUGAUAGGUGGCAUUGGCCUUUCACCUUUGGCGUCAAUUAAUUGGUAGGCACCGCCUUCAUAAGCUUUCUCCACCACAUAUGGGCCUUCCCAAUUUGGAUCAAACUUCUUCCCAGUAUGUUUAUUGAUUAUAAUCGGUCUGCGAAGAACGAGCACCAGCUCCCCAACACUAAUGGUGCGGUACCGGGUAAGUUUAUUAUAUGCGCUUGCCAUUUGGGCUUGAUAUAGUUCCAAAUUCUGUUGGGCAGUCAACCUGACUUCAUCCAAUGCAUCUAGCUCAUCAAGCCUUAGUAGAGCAUUUUCUUCAUUUGUUAACUCGUGUUGAACUGCUAUUCGUAAUGAGGGCAAUUCAACUUCUAAUGGUAAUACCGCCUCAACACCGAACACCAAGGAAUAGGGUGUUGCUUGAGUUGGCGUUCUGUAUGUGGUCCGAUAGGCCCAUAGAGCUUCGAUGAUCCGCAUAUGCCAUUCCUUUUGAUUUUUGCCAAUGAUUUUCUUUAAUAGCUUUGUCAAAGUCUUAUUAAAGGCUUCGGCCAGUCCAUUAGCCCUUGUAUUAUAUAUUGAAGAAUAUCUCCAAUCAAUUUUAUGUUGAGUGGCAAAUCUAUUGACUUUGAAACUCCUGAAGGCAGUUCCAUUGUCAGAUAUAAUUCGCCUUGGAACUCCGAAUCGAUAUAGGAUAUUUUCUUUGAAGAAUUUGACCACAUCAUCUGCUUUUACUUCUCUAAGUGGGAUUGCCUCAACCCAUCUAGAAAAGUAAUCUGUAGCAGCAAGAAUGAAUUUAUGCCCCCUGGAAGAUAGCGGAUUGAUAGGUCCUAUCACAUCUGUUCCCCACAUAUCAAAUGGCCAUGAGGCGAUUGUAGGAUGCAAGGGAUUUGGAUGCCGAUGAAUGAAGUCACCGUGGAUUUGACAUUGAUGGCAUUUUCUAGCAUACAUCAUACAAUCUUGUAUCAUUGUUGGCCAAUAAUAUCCCAAAUGUUUAAUUUUGAGGCGCAUUUUUGGCCCUGAUUGGUGCGCACCGCAGACGCCUGAAUGAACUUCAUGCAUGACUUGUUUAAUCUCAUUUGGUGAUAAACAUUUAAGCCAUAAUUGAUCAUAAGAUCUACGAUAAAGCUGAUCAUUAACAAAUACAUAUCUCAUUGCCCUUUUCUUAAUUUGUGCCUGUCUCGACUUUUCCUCUGGCAACUUAUUAUAUUUGAGAAAGUCGAUGAAAGGUUCCCUCCAAUCAUCUUCUAUAUCGAUAGUUGCGACUUCAGCUUCCUUUGUAUCUUUUUCUGGAUUUAAGUCAGCCGGGGACAAUAUUUUACGAUUCCGUAUAGUUAUUUGGACUUCAUCCAUAGUGAGAUCGGCAAGCUCUUUAGCCAAUCUAGCUAGGGCAUCGGCUUUUCCAUUUACAGCCCUGGAUACUUUUUCUAUUUUUACAUAUGGAAUUUUCUCCAUAAGAUAUUUUACCCUCGUCUGAUAUUCGACCAGCUCAGGUUUAUGUACUUUUAAACUCCCCUUCAACUUGGUUGAUGAUUAAUUGGGAGUCUCCGAAGAUAUGCAAUUUUUGUAUGUUCAACUGGAUCGCAAUUUCUAAACCUGCAAUAAGAGCUUCAUAUUCAGCCUCAUUAUUUGUGCGAGGUUCAGAAAGGGCUAAUGAGUAUCUUAAAAUGCCUCCUUCAGGUGUUACAAAGAUUAACCCUAUCCCGGCCUUAAUCUUAGGGAUAUUUGGACUGAAAGCUGGUUGAAUUGAGGAUGCACCGUCAAAAUACAUUUUCCAAUAGGGUUGGUCGUCCGUAGCAAACAUGAUGUGCUCAUCGGGCAAAUCGCAGACCAAAGGUGAGUCAUCUGGAAUUGGGUGCGCAGCUAAGAAAUCAGUAAGUGCUUGACCUUUGAUGGCUUUCUGUGGGACAUAAGUGAUGUCAAAUUCCAGCAGUAUAACAGCCCACUUUGCCAACCUUCCAGUCAAAACUGGUCUUGUCAUUAAGAAUUUAAGUGGGUCCACCCUCGAAAUUAAGUGGAUUUUAUGCUCCAACAUAUAAUGCCUUAAUUUCUUAACCGCAAAUAUAAGGGCUAGACAGUGCUUUUCAAUUGGCGAGUAAAAGUUUUCUGCCCCCACCAACAUCCUGCUGAGAUAAUAUAAAGCGCUUUCCUUUCCUUCUUCAUUAUUUUGAGCAAGGAGUGCACCCAGCGAUCCUUCAAGCGCAGCAGUGUAUAAAAUUAAUGGCCUGCCAUGAAUAGGGGCAGCAAGCACUGGAGGACUUAAUAAAUAUUUCUUAAUGUCGUCAAAUGCUGUUUGACAAUCAUCAUCCCAUAUAAAAGGCGCAUCCUUUUUCACCAAUUUGGAAAACGGUUUAAUUCUGCCAGAUAGAUUUGAUAUAAACCUUCUGAUAUAGGCCAAUCUUCCUUGAAAGGAUCUUAAUUGCUUCAAAUUCUUUGGAGGUGGCAAUUCCAUGAUAGCCUUGAUUUUUGCCGGGUCGAUUUCAAUUCCUCUAUGUCUAACAAUAAACCCAAGGAAUUUGCCCGAAUAAACUCCAAAUGCACAUUUGAGAGGGUUCAUUUUCAGAUUAUAUUUUUUUAAUCUGGUGAAAACUGUUCUCAAGUCUUCAAAAUGAUUUGCUUUAUUCACAGUUUUGACCACCAAGUCAUCAACAUAACACUCAACAACCUUGUGGAGCAAAUCAUCAAAAAUUAUUGUCAUAGCCCUUUGAUAAGUGGCUCCUGCAUUUUUCAGACCAAAGGGCAUAACCUUAUAACAGUAUAUGCCAAUUGGAGUUCUAAAAGCAGUGUGUUUUUCGUCUUCAGGUGCCAUCUUUAUCUGGUUAUAUCCAGAGGAACCGUCCAUGAACGAAAACAUCUCGUAACUUGAAGUAUUAUCGAUCAUUAGUUCGGUGACUGGCAGUGGAAAAUCGUCCUUUGGACAUGCUUUAUUCAGAUCUCGAAAGUCAACGCAUAUGCGAAUUUGACCAUUCUUCUUUUUCACUGGGACUAUGCUCGUGAUCCAGUCAGCAUAUUUUUCUUCUCUGAUGAACCCUGCUUCAAUAAGCUUUUUAGUCUCAGUUAUGAUCUGUUCUUCUAAGUCAACUCUUGUCCUUCUUGGAGCUUGUUUAACUGGAGCCACAUCUGGACUAAUGGCAAGUUUAUGAACAGCCACACUUGGAUCUAAGCCAGGCAUUUCUUUAUACGUCCAAGCAAAGAAGUCUUUAUAUUCCAUCAAUAGUGCUUUCAACACAUCUUGAUCUUCUUCUGGAAGUAAUGCACUAAUAUAAGUGGGUCUUCGAUCCUCUUCAUUACCCAAAUUUAUUUCUAUAAGCUUAUCAACGGUGGCUUGCCCCCCGUCUUCAAGCUCUUGUGGAGCAUCUUUUAAUUCCAGAAGUUUUGCUUUCAGUGGCUCGAUAUCCUCAUCCUGCUCCAUAUCCUUUAUCGUGAUCAUAGUGCAGGUGUGUCGUAUAGCACAUGAAUCAUUAUAGGUCAUCUCUGUCAUAGGAGGUGAGGGAUUGAGCUGACCUUUCUCAGAAGAGCACUGAGAUUUAUUGGACACCUGGGUAGAUUGAUGAUAUCCUAACCCUCUUGUGUGUACUGUUCGCCCAUUCGGAAGUACAACUCUUUUUUGUGGUGGAUUCCACAUUUUCUGAAAAAAAUUUCGAUUAUCUCGUGACCUUCUUGCAGGAAUUCCCGAUCUAUUCAUCAUGUUUUUGAGAUUCUUCGAAAAGUAUUUUGGCAUGUUGACAUCUUCAUAUAUUUCUUCAUCAGAGUUAUCAAGCUUGAUAAGAUCAGAGGGUUUAUAAUCAUCUGACUUAUAGAAAAGGAUCCCCUUCUUUAUUCUUUCUUUUCCUUUAACUUUCUCGACUUGAGGAGGUACAAAGAAGGUUUUUAGAUCAUUCACUUUUGUUGGCUCGCUUAUAUGAAGAGAUUUUAUAUAUCCAUCUGGAACCCUAGUAAUAGCUAAGGAAUCCUCAAUCAAUUCAGGAGUUCUUAUGAACAUAUUUGACUCAGAUGUCGAGCACAUCUCUUCAUCUUCUGAUGAGUCUUCUCCCCAGGGCAUGUUCAACUUGAAAGAAAAUGUUUCCAACAUUUUCCUUACUUGUUCUUCAUCAUCAGAAUCUUCUGAAUCACUUCCGAAGUGUGGAAUCGCAUUUUUUUUAUUAUCCUCAAUCUUUAUCUUCCCUUUUGAUGAUUUUUUAUCACUCUGAACUUUACCCUCUUCGAGUUCACGAGACAACUUUAUAUCUUUUUCAGAUUCUGCGAAAUAUCUCGCAUCUUCAUAUCGUACCUCAUGCACUCCGAAUGGGCGUAUAUCACCAUCAACUCUGAAUUCCUCUCCAUCCUUAAUAUAUUUCAUACAUUGAUGAAGAGUAGAGGGGACAACAUUAUAUUCGUGCAGCCAAGGCCGUCCCAUUAACGCCUUAUACGAGGUAUCUGCAUUUAUCACAUAAAAUUUUGCUUCGGUCCGUAAUGCUCCAAAUUUUAUAGGAAGAAUGAUCGACCCGAGAGCUUUUUGGCUAUGUUGAUUAAAGCCUUGGAUCACGAUUUUCUCCGAGGACAGAUGAUCGACAUUCAGAGCUAAACUUUUCAAAGUUCUUAAAGUCAAGAUAUUGAUUGAGGAUCCAGGAUCGAUUAAAAUGCGAUUAAUCUUAUCUCCAUCACUCGUCCCAGUCACAUAUAACGGCCUAUUGUGAUGAGCAGUUCCCAGCAACAUGUCUUCAUCAGUGAAGAUAACAUUGGCGACAUGUUUAGCGUAUAACGCCUCUUUCAUAUUCACCUCAGCAAAAUGAGCAUAAAAGGGCUCGGGAUUUUGUAAAGCAUAAAUGAGUACAUCCCGAAGUUCUUUGGACAUCAUCAGAGCGUCAUAAACACUCAGCAAAGCAGGCACUUUUCUUAAAUGGGAAAGUAUGUUAUAGUCAGCCUUUGAUAAUCUCCCUUGACUUGAUGAAGUCGUGCCUCUUCAUUUAUCCGAAUUUCUUUAUCUUUAAGAUUUUGAGGAUGUCCUUGUCUUUCUGGUAAUACUUUUCCGGAUUUCAGCGUGAUUUGCAAAGAAUCCUCAGCUUCUUUAUCUUGCUUAGUAUUAGAGUCAGUACCACAAGUAAUAGUUUGGCAUGUUUCGACUCUAGUCUUUUCAAGAGUAUUCAACUUGUUGAGGAUCUCUUUCAAUUGUUCCUUCAUGCUUUUUACCGCCAUGGCCACACAAUCUAUGUUUGUUGCUAGAGAGCGUACAUCAAUCUGCACUCUACUCAAAUCAUUGUCAAUCUCAAGAAGACGGUAUUCCAUUCUCCUUGCACCAUAAUCCCUGCUCGGGGUAUUGUAUGCUAGCCACGCGGUAUCAUCGUCUUCACGUGCACCAGCAGAUUGCCUGACCCUAUUCUCUUGAUUUACAGAGUCGUUAGAUUGCUCUUCAGAGAUUGUUAUUACUCGACACGACUCUUUGAGCUGUGAUUUGUUUUUUCUAUAAUCUCGAAGUUUCACGCAUACAUCAUAAGCAUGACCUCUCGCUCCACACCAACAGCAACGUGGUUUCAUAUCAUCGAAAGCAUCAUAACAUGCUUUUCUGAAUUCUUCUAGAGUAAUGGGUUGUUGUUUCUCAAAUCGUGGUAGAUGUCUCUUCCAUCAUUGACUUUUGGACCCGGCAACCGUCGGUUGAUCGACCUUUAGCUUCACCUUGUCAACAGUUAGAUUCUGCAUCUUUUUCCAUUGGCGACAAUUUUCUAGGGUGUGCCCCCAUAUAUUGUGAUAGGAACAGAACUCUGUCGACAUAACUUUCUUUUUCCCUUCCUUAAUUAGAGGUUCAUUAUUCUGGCGAGCCUCUGACUGCUGGCUUAGAGUUGGUUUCUUCUUCUUUUUCAGUGAAGAUGACCCUGCAUUUCCUCUCACCGACAUUCUUUUAAUUUCUUGAGCAAUUAUGUGUGCUUCAUAGAAAUUUGCGUCGUAUUCGGCUUUUGUUAACUUUAAUUGCUCCGAAUCAACUUGCGCAGUUAUGACUCGGCAUGUCUCAACCCGACAUCUUUUUGAUGCUUCAGUAGCAUCUGUCUUGAGCAUAUCUAUUAUAGUUCUCAUUUGAAUAUCUAUGCCCUUUAUAUCGCCAGUCAUACUGUUCAUAUUCAUCUUUAUGAAGUUAAUAUCAUUGUGCAGCCUCCUCAUUUCUCCCUCCAUUCUGAUUAAGCGACACUCCAUUCUAUACAACUUCUUCAUUGGAUCAUUAUAAGUUGAAGUGUCGUAUAAUUCCAAAGGAUCAACAUAAGUAUCAUCGUUUGGUGUGGAGGUCUGUUGAUUUGCCCUCAGGGUCGGCGCAGGGCUUUCUGACACGUCAUCUGAUAUUGUAAUCACACGACAUGAUUCCCGUAUGUAAGGAAUAGUCUCGUGCUUAUUUUUCUCCUGGAUUUUCAAAGUGGUGCUUCUGACAUUUUGCCUUAUACUUGCCCCUUGAGAAAACUGACCUAUUUGGUCUUCUUAUAUGUUGAAAAGUACGACAGUUUUCUAGGUUAUGUCCUUUCACUUGAUGAAAAGGGUAAUACAUAGGUGUAUUCUUGCUGUCAGAAGACUGAGAAUUAACGCCUCCCAUCGGCGCAGUUCUCGAGCAUUCCCCACCCAUGUUUUUAGUUUCUAUAAGAGGGGUUUUUUCUUUAUCACUUCGGGAAGUAUUGGGUGAAUGCUAAUCUGAAGAUCGAUUUGUAAGCCUUGGCAAUGGCUCGAUCUCCCGUUCUCUGUGGUUUUGUGACUGAGUCUGCUGAGGGAGAGGAGUAAUUUUCAUUAAUUGUUCCACUCUGGCUUCGAUCCCAAUCAUCAUAGAGAACAUUACAUUCAAUUGUGCUUUCAUAUCCAACAUUUUAUCAUUUACCUUGUGGUAAUUGUCAUGCAUCAUUUCUUUUAUUUCUUCUAGUUGGUUAUGAACUUCUCUGAGAUUCCUUUCUCGUCCUCUAACGUGACUUGAAGGAGGGAUAAUUUCUUCAUCGUCACGUUGUGCAGUAAUGACUCUGCAAGUUUCUCCCCAAAAAGGCUCUUCUUUUUCUUUGAGCUCCUCAACAGGAAUUUCUUUUUCACCAGAGUCCUUUUUUUCUUAGCCUCUUCUAUUGCCCUAGAAAUAAAAUCAUGAAUCAUAAGAGGCCCUCUUUCAUCCUGUUUGUAUUCUUCCAUCGAGUCGAUAUGCUCCUCAAUAGGCCGCUUCUUAUGUUGUGGUUGAGCCGGCUCAACAAACUUUUUAUUCUUCCUCAUCCGGGUUAUUCCGCGCCUUGACUUGGCUGAAUUAUUAACUGGAGGUAUAGGCUUAUCCUCAGCUUGCACCUCUGGGUUUAAAGGGCCUCGCCAUUUUAUUCCCGGUACCUCUUUUAAAUAUCUUAACAUCUUCCGAGUUUUCUUAGAUAAAAAUAUAUUCCAAAACUCGGGGGGAAAUACGUUCUCAAUUUCCUCCAAAUUUUUGACGUCGAUCAAAUUAGUCUUUUCGACUGGGACCUCUGACAAUACUGAUUGUGACAGAGUGAUUGCGCCGCUUCUAUAUUGCCUUUCAACCCAAUCUUUGAACACCCAGCAGUCUUCGAUUGGAUGACUGAUUAGUCUGUGGUAUAGGCAAUAGUUUGGAUCGCCAGUUUUCCCUACAUCUUCUGGCUUCCUUGGCUCCGGCAGUUGAAGCCCAUUUUUGACGGCGUCAUUGAAUAUCUUUCUCACUUUCUCCCGCUUGAAAGGAUAUACCUUGUUUCUCCGUUCCUCUAAAGAAAUCCCUUUUGGAUUAUUGCCCCCAUACAUUGGCUUUACCGGGGCCUGUUCAACUGUAGAGGAAAUUGCUUUCUUUCCUUUCUCUAUCAUAUUUGCACGGGCUGGCCUAGCUUGUGCCAUCUUCGUCUCAACUCUUUUAUUAUCAUUCUUCUUAGUCCUUUGUAAGUUUAAGAGGACUUGAGGAUCGGUUCUCUCCAACCGGGAAAUAUUUGAUAUUAAUUCAUGAAAGGUGGAACAACUUGAUGUGCACAGGAAAGGAGCCAUCCAAUUGUCGAUGUUACCCAUGACAAGACCAACGGCUUGGGACUGGUCUAGGGGUUGUUCACACCUUAUGCUUAAGUUCCGCCACCUUGUAAUGUAGUCGAGCAUUGUUUCAUCUUUUCUUCGCCUGGUGGCUACCAAAUCAGCGAUGGUAAUCUUAUCGCUAACAGUGGCGAACUUUGCUCUGAAAGCUUCUUCCAUGUCAGCCCAGGUUCUGAUGGACUCAUCCUCGAGGGAGUAGUACCAUUCAAAAGCAAUACCUGAUAAGCUUUGUGGAAAUUGUCGCAAGAGUAGAGGUCCGUUACUCCCUGUAUUUCCACACAUGGCUUUAAAAUGUGCUAUAUGCUGAUCGGGAUUGCCGAUACCAUAGAACAUUUUAAACUUAGGGACCUGAUACCCUUCUGGAAAUGGUACACUAUCGUAUUCUGAUAGGUAAGGGUGACCUUUCCCUUUAGGUUUUGAAUGCGUCCCUGCCACCGUCUCUUUAACUUGAGAAGUGAUCAAAUCAUGGAUCUCUUCCUUAGUCAAAGAGGUAGUCUCUUUAGGAACAGUUAUUUUAGUCUGUUCAUCAAUGAUUUGCGGUAGAUGUGCUUCUGGUUGAGUAGGAAUCUUAGUUUGACGCCGUUGCUCCCCCAAUUGCUUUUGCACAUUUAGCAUCAAACUCAUGACAUCUUCCAUCUUUUUAUUGAGAUUUAUGAUAUCUCUAUCUUUUUCAUCGACUUUCUUUUUUAAAGACGCAAUUAUAACGUCUUUUGGAUCCUUGGGGUAAUAAACAACCUCCUCUUCAUCUCGUGGAUCAGAUGGAUCACUAGGCAUAUCAUCUUUGUUUUCUUUAUGUUGGGUCUGCGAAGAGCUCGCUUCCUUAGCUCUGGCUUUCUCUUCCGCUGCUUUUCUUGCAGCCGCCCUCGUGAGGAUUUGCUGAAUUGUUUCUUCUUCAUCAGCAUCCUCAUUCGAUGACGUAUGCCCGAUAACUCUCACCGUAUGUAUCACCAAUUUUUCUUCUUUGAUCUGGGCAAGAGUUUUUGGCUUCCACUCUGUAUUCCUUGCUUUCUUUUGUUGCCAUCUUGGCUUCUCAAUUUUCUUUUCCAGGCUGGUUCUUCCUUUUACAGCCUUAAAAGCCUUAUAUAUCCGCUUAAAGACAGAGUUCGUAUCAUCGUUCUUCGAGCGGGGACAUGCAACAGAUGGUUUCAAAUGGGCCAUUUCUGACUCUGGGCGCAGAAUGGCAGUAUGUGAAUUUUUUCUCACAAAUCUCAAGGGUGCAAAGCGGUUACGGGGCAAAACAUCAGGCCCGGCGACAAACCUAUUGUGUUGGGUUUGCUGGAACUUGCUUCCUUUGUUUAUCUCCCGUCGCUUCAAAGUACGACGAAGAUUUCUCUUGAAGGACUUAGUCACGGUGUCCUUGGGAAUCGUCAGCCUAUCGAAGACCGACAUCUCUGGCGCCAUGUUGAGUGGCGAUGUUUCAGCUAUCCGAUUUUGGAAUACAAGUCAUCCUUGUAAUUCCAUCCUCUUAGAUGCGCUGAUGGGUGCGAUCCUCUCCUUCACAGGAACGCGAGGAGGGUUGGAGAUGAUCACAUUUGGGCGUCUCCCACGAGAUGGAAGACGUGGAGUCAUAGUAUUAGCCUCAGUUGGGCUGGCAAUGGCAUUGAAAGGGGCCAUAACCGCAGCCCUAACUUCUUCAGGAAUGGUGCCGAACUGGAUUGCGGCACCAGCAGCUCCAAUGGUAAGGACAGAUGCCGGCAGGCAGACCUGUCCUGCAUUGAUCAUCAUUGAGCCUGUAGCAGUAGCAGUGUUCUUCGGUGCCAUUUCUCCUGUAAGAGAAUAGCGAGUGUCGAUUAGAUAUUUAUCACUCAAUUCUAUUAGCAUAACAUUGGUCUCAAAGAUGGAAGGAGAAGCCAAGUCCCACUGGGCGUGCCAUUUUGUCUGCCACCACGAAUGACGCACCUCGCACGGGGAAUUUUUAUCUUUUGAUUCUCCCGUGGGUUAGUAUUCAUGAUGUAGAUUAAAGUAUGUGUAUGUAUGGUUAUCAGGUAUUGCGGAUCCAUGGCUUCCAAUAAACGCAAGCGUCUAUUGUUAAUUACCCCUAUAGAAUAUUAGGGCACCUUCGAUUAAGAGACCUCUGAAAUGCUGAAGAUAAACUGGAAUUGGACAAAAGGAAAUUUAUAAUUUAUUGCUCAAUUACAUGGCUUUAACCAAGGGCAUACCCUCAGUGUACAUGAAUAGAGCGUAAAGAAUGUAUUUUUCAAUUGUAUCUUAGUUAUAUGUUCUAAGAUACCCAAUAUAUGGUCAAAUUAAUUUUGUUGGACUCUAUAUAUUGUGGAGCUUAACACUAUUCACCCUAAGAUGAAAGAUUGGUUAAAUUCCAUAUAUAUAUGCAUUGGAAUUUAAUCAGAUUUAAUUCAGAUUAAACUCUAAUUAUAUGUAUUAGAGUUUGAUUUGGUUAAUUGAACUUUAAAUGUAUGUAAUAAAGUCCAAUAGAUGAUCAGAUUUUGUUGAGCUCUAUAUAUUUUGGAGCUCAACUUUGUUUACCAUGAGAUGAAAGAGUGAUUAAAUCCCGUAUGUAUACAUUGGAAUUUAAUCGAACUUGAUUAAACUCUGAACUUUAAAUAUAUGCAAUAAAGUCCAAUAGAGUUUGAUUUGAGCUUUCAUCCUAAAUAUAUGUGUUAGGAUUAGUCCCAAAUAUCUUGAAUUAGACUCUAAUUUUAUAUUUUAGAGUCUGAUACAAUUAGGCUCUAAGUUUAUGUAUUAGAGCUUAGUCACAUUUGAUUUUGGUUCAUCUCAAGGUGAAAUAUUAACUAAAUCCUAAUUAUAUGUAUUAGGAUUAGUCAAAUUUGAUUUAAAUUAAACUCCAAGUGUAUGUAUUGGAAUCCAACAAAUUAAUUUGAUCAGAUGGUUUGAUCAAUUCUAAAUAUAGGUUUAGAAUUUGAUCAAGUUUGAACAUGAUUGUGAUUUGACUCUAGUUUUAUAUGCUAGAGAAUCAAAUAUUUUGGGAAUUGGGAUGUUCAUGAAAAUUGAAUUUGAGUUUAGUUUAACGACAUUUCGGUCGAUAUCGGAUUUAGGUUUAGUUUAACGACGUUUCGGUCGAUUAAUUUGGUGGAUUAGUUUAACGACGUAUCGGUCGAAGGUUUGGGCUUGGUUCACAAGGUUUAUGGUAUUGGGUAUAUGGGAUUAUGGUUCAUGAACUUAGAUAUGGUUCAUGGGUUUAUGGUUCAUGGACUUAUGGUUUAUGGGUUUGGUUCAUGGGCUUAUGGUUCAUGAACUUGUGGUAUGGUUCAUGGGUUUAUGAACUUGUGGUUCAUGGGCUUAUGGUUCAUGAACUUGAUUCAUAGUUUGUGGAUUUGGUGUAUGGUAUGGUCCACAGGAUUUGGUAUAUGGUUUGGUCUAUGGUUUUGGUUCAAAGUUCAUGGAGGUUAAAGUUAUGGGCUUGGAUAUGGGUUAAAUGUGUAUGGGUUUAUGGGUAAAUGUAUAUGGGUUUAUGUAUAUGGGUUUAUGGGUUAAUGGUUUUAAUGAGUUUUGGAUAAUGGGCUUAGAUAGUUCCAUUAUUUCGAACACUAUCAAAUCAAAAGAAUAUUAAUCAAAAAUCUAAUUAAUUUUCUUUUAUUUCUCCACUGAAAGAGAAUUAAGAGAAUAUUUUUUCUCUGUCUCUUAAAAAAUAAGAUGCAUCAUUCAUCAUCAUCAUUUUUUUACAUCUUGGGGACAACUAAGGUGGGAAGAUCCCUCCUUUGCCUCCCUCUUUUUUUUUACAAAGCUUCCUCUCUCUUUCAUAAUCAUGAUUAGAGAAGUACUAUCUUUCUCUCUCUCUCUCAAAUAUAUAUUUUUUGAAGAGCACCGCUCUUUCAUUUUUUAUAAAGAGAAGAGCACCGCUCUCUCUCUUUAUUCGCCGCCGAGCACUUGGCGGGCGGAUCUAACUUCAUUUGAGAGGAGAGCACCGCUCUCUCUCUCUCAGGUUCGCCGUCGAGCGGUUGGUGGGCGGACUCCGGGUACAUCGAGCACUUGGCGGGCGGAACCCGUUUGAGAGGAGAGCACCGCUCUCUCUCUCAGGUUCGCCGUCGAGCAGCUGGCGGGCUUUGUUGAUGACGGAGCUCCGGUUUCAUUCAGGAAUUUCGUCGAACAGUUGGUAGGCAUGGUUCGUCGGUGCGAACUCCGUCAAAGCGACAUCCUGGACAUUUCAUCAAACAAGUGGUGGACGUGUCCCAUCGGCGUCCACUCUGCCAGAACCAUGUCCUAAUCAGCUUUGUAGGUGGCGAGGGUGUUCUCGGUGGCCUCCUUCUACUCGGCCCCGGUCUUGAACUCGGCGUCGAUUCAAAUGGUAUCAUCUUCGUCAUGGAGGAUCAAGGAUCCGUUGGCGGUGCACGAGAUGCAGCGGUUGCUGGCGGAAAAGAAGAAUUGCUCACUGCGGACUUAAAUCGAACACCUGGUGUGCGGGGGAUGAAGCAGGAGAGGAGCAGGAUGAGGAAGGAGCAGGUGGCCUCGGCGGUACAGAGGUCAGCGAGGAACAGGCAGCCUCGGAACGGGCAGCCUCGGAGCGGGCGACCUCGGAGGGGGCGGCCUCGGAGCGACGACCUCAGCGGCGCAAGGGUCGGCAAGGAGGCGACGUCUUCAGCGGCGCAGGGGUUAGCGAGGAGGCGGCAGCCUCGGGUAGUUGAAGUUGGCGAGGAGCGACGCGGCCUCGGGCGCAGGGGUCGGCGAGGAGCGACGGCCUCGGGUAGUUGGGGUCGGCGAUGAAGCGAGCGGCUUCGGCGGCGGAUCGGCGAGGGAACAGCCGGAAGCAAGCGGCGACCUCGGUAGACGGAUCAGCGCGGAAGCGGGCGGCUUCAAGCAAAUCGGCCGCGGGUGGCGCGGCUUCGAGUCGAGGACGGCAGCGGUGGCGCUUCAAGCAGAUCGGCCGCGGGUGGCGCGGCUUCGAGUCGAGGACGGCGAGCUCGGUCGAGUCCGCGGCCAUGUGCGCAGAGAAGUCGAGGAGCGGCGGCGAUGGCGGCUCGUGGUGACGUCGGAGUCGAUGCCGUCGCGGAGACCGCAAAGGAGUGUGGGGCGAAGUCCGCGGCCAUGCGCGCGGAGAUUGUCGAGAAGUGACGCCCCGGGCCGAGGCGUCUCGGAGUGACGUGGGCAUGUCUCGGAGCAGACGACCUUAGCGGCGCGGUGCCUCGGAGCAGACAAGGGGGGGGACCUUGGAGCGAGCUCGACGGUCGGUGCGGUUCGGCUUUGGAGCAGACAAGGGGGCCUUGGAGUGAGCUCGACGGCCGGUGCGGCUCAGCCGCAGCAUGGACGGCCUUGGGCUCGAAGGUGGUGCAGCUCGGCCUCGGUUGGAGAGGGAUGACACGGCGGGUGAUGGAGCAGAUCGGCCGCGGGGGGCGCUUCAAGCAGAUCGGCCGCGGGUGGCUUCGAGUCGAAGACGGCAGCGGUGGCGGCUUCAGGCAGAUCGGCCGCGGGUGGCGCGGCUUCGGGUCGAAGACGGCAGUGGUGGCGGGGACACGGCGGAAGGGCUCGGCCGACUCCAUGAUGAGCUCGGUGGAGCUCGGUGGGUGCUCGGCGGAGCUUCGGCGGAAGCGCGUCGCGGCUCGAUCGGCAGAGGAGUCGGUGGAGCGCCUCGGCGCGGAGAGCUCAAGGAACUCGAGCGCACGGAGACAUCGAGGAGGCGGCGAGGGCAAUGUCGUCGUGGGCAGGGGCUCAGCGGAGGAAGCCUCGGUGAGUGCUUGAGAGAGAGAGAGAGAGAGAGAGAGAAAGAAAAGAGAUCUGAGAUCUGAGAUCUUUUUUUUUCUUUUCCUUCUUUCUUCUUUUUUUUUUUUAGCCGAGAGAGAGAGCUUUGUUUUCUUCUUUCUUUUUUCUUCUUUUUUUUCUUUUUUUUUUUUGAACGGGAGAAAGAGAUAAUAUAUUUUUUUUACCUUUUCUUUUUUUUUUUUUUUUUGCGAUCGACAGAAUAGGGUAGAAAUUUUUUUUUAGAUUUCGCAGAUUCAAAAACUCUCUCUUGUUUGAUUUUUCGAGGGGUAUUUAUGGAGGUGGUUGUAACCAACCUGAGGGAGACGUGCGGAUGGAUCGUGGGAUGCGGGUGGUUGUAAACAAUUUGAGGGAAACGUGCGUAUGAAUCGUGGGAUGGUUAUGGGAUCGUGGGUAAUCGUGAUAGGAUUGUGGGAUGAUGGGUGGUGGGUAUAGGUUGUUACGAUAGUAUCGUGGGAUUGUGGGAGAGAUUUUGGAUGGUUGAGAUGAGAUUGUGGGGUAUUUUGGACGGUUGUGAUGAGAUUAUGAGAUAUUGGGUGGUUAGGAUGGGAUUGCGGGAAUAUUGCGGAUUAGUCCUUUCCCUUUGAUCAUAUUACAUCUUAAUAAAAAUAUUAUAUGAUUAAGGUGGGGCAUUUUGUAAAUAUAUAAAAGGGAAUAGACUAAUAUGCUAUUUUAUAUUCCCGUACGUAUUAUUUUUUUGCAAUCCGGUGCAUGGGAUAUUUUCAAAAUUUAAAUUUUAUCCAUGCACCUGGUGCAUAGAUGAUCUCAUAAACCAUCUCUAUUUAUUAUUUUCUCUCUCCCCUUUUUUCUUUUUCUUCUUUUAUUCCUCUCUCUUUUUUUAUGCUUCAACAAGCUGGACCUUUGCAAAUUGCGAGGUUCGAGUGAUUGGAUGUGUUUCGAGUUUUUCCACACUUGGUGGAGGGUCGUAGAAUGUUUUCCGAACUAAAAAGUUCGAAAACUGGAAUUCUGGAUGAGUCCUGAGAGUUUUUACUCUCGGGGACUGGUCCCUGAAAGGAGAGACCGGUCCCCCAGUGAGCAGUGCUGUGCAGCCGGCGAGGAGACCGGUCCCGCGCAGGGAGAGACCGGUUCCCGAACGAUGGUUUUUCGAGUUCGACACGAGAGACCGGUCCCUUGCAAGGAGAGACCGGUCCCUCUGGGCGAAAAUUGCCGAGACCGCGCUGAUGCAAUAUUGGAUUUUUGAGGGGCCUCUUUGGAUUUUGUUACACUAGAUGGCUUAUAUGGCCACACCACCCUCUCUCCUUCUCAUUUCUCUCCUCAUACUCACUCCCCACCCUUGUUAGAGAGAGAAGAGGAAGGAGAAGAAGGAAGAAGAAGAAGAAGAAGGAGAAGGUCUUUUGGUGCACUUGGAGCAUUUCUUUCCUCUCCUUCUCUUCCCACCUUGUUGGUGCUUGAAGGCUUGGACUUGGAGCUUGCAAGAGAGGAGAACUUCACCCUUGGAGCUUGGAUUGGAGCGUCUAAGGAGGUUUGUUGCUCAUUUUCUCCAUCUAAACUUUGGAUUUGAGGUUUUCUUGUGUUGGAACCCUAGAAUGAGAUUUUAGGGUUGAUUUUGGGGCUUUUUGAUCUAGGGCUUUUGGAGCUUGAUCACUUGGAUUAGAGCUUUCCUUUGGGUUGGAUUGGAAGGGAUUUAGCUAUCUUUUGGAGCUUAGGAAGAGAUUUUGCACUAGAGGUGAGUUUUGACCCUAUUUUUGAGAUGGUUAAUGUUUGAUCCUAUAGUUGAUCGUAAUGCCCGUGUAUCUCUUCGCUCAAUACUUUUAGGGUGAUUUGAGACUCGUGGACAACUUUGUUCGGCGAGACGAGGCACUACGCGACGGUUCGGUGGGUUUGACCUAGCCACACAAUGAGAAAUUCUUAUUUGUGAUGAAUUAAGUAUCGUUAAUUGAAAAAGCAUGCAUAUUCUUGUUAUAUGCAUUUAUUGUGAAUUUUAAAAUGCUUAAAAUGCCUAAGUUACAUAUGAUGAAAUUUUGGACCUCUAUGUAGUAGAGAGUUGCUUGGGAGAUCUAUGGUUGCAUUUAGCAUUCUAUAUGAGACUUGGUUUCAUACUUCUAUAGUGUAAAUGAGCUUGGAUUCAUGCAUUUAAAUCUAAGUUUAUUUGAGACAUGAAAGAUGACAAAAUAGCCAUAUAGGGGUAUCGAACUAGAAUGCAUGUGAAUUGGUGAGCUAAUGUCAUUAAGCGGCAUUGAGCUCGGAUUAUGUGUGAACCUAGUGGUUAGAGCCAUUGCGGGAUUUGGUUUAUGUUGAACAUUAAAUUGCCUAAGUGUCAUCAAGGGGCACUAGGCGUAGUGAGUGUUUGGAACUUCGCUUUGUAACUUAACUAGAUCUUCGGGAUGCUAGUGACGAUACCAUGUUAGAGACAUGAGGUUUGGGUACUUAAGACUUGGACUAUGCUUGUUUGCCAUUUGUGCUCAUUCGCACAUGCUUGUGAAGGUCGCUCCCUACAAGCCGGCACUCCGGAGUUAGCCUACGCGACCUAUGUUCGCUCGUGCGGUAUUGAGAAGCCUACGGGGUCGAGUGGGACAGACACAUUCCAAGAGUAGGAAUGUUGGGCUACCACAGGCACUUAGGCGACACAAGCUCGACUACCUUUGGUAGGUCCUUAAUUGGAAAUGAAAAUCGACACGGUGUUGAGUUUAUUAUAAUCACUACUAGAUAGAGAAUAGUAGUUGGAUUACUUGGACUUGCUUCUAGCAUAGUUUUGGGUACUUGGAUAUACAUACAUGCAUGUAGCAUGCUAGGAGAUGUUUCUUAUCGCAUUCAUAUAUACAUUGUUGCCAUGAUAAAGCAUGAUCUUCAUAAUUUCAUAAAGCAAAUAAUGAUUAUUACUUGUGGUCAUGUCAGGACGUACUUGUUCAUAAUGAAAUAGGUGUACAUCAUAUUUGACACAAUGUAGUUCCUUAGCAUGUUUAUUUAUGCUUUCAUAAAUGCACUUUAUUCAUUACUAUUGCUCUUCCUUGACUUACCCUUUUCUUUUGGGGCCUAGUGGUGCAUUGAGCUGAGGUCAGUAAUUGCCCACUGGGAACCUAUAAAUUAUAGUUCUCACGCCCUAUGUUUUAUGUUUUCUUUCAGAGCCUUCCACGCCGGGAGAGGCUAGGGACCGCGGGAAGGGGGUUGCUUCGAGCUAGCUUCCUUCGAGGACGAGUCGAUAGGUGGUCUACCUCUCGUUGUUUUAUUUUGUGAGAGGUUGAGAGUUGUACCCGUAUAUGUAUAGAGACCACCCUUCUUUUGGAUCUUUGUAUUCCUUUUGAGGAUAUAGCAUUGUAUCACUUAUGCGUUACUUUCAUUGUCUAGUUAUGUUUCUUUUACUCUGGUUUAGAUGAUAGAACUUUACUCGCUCUGAUAUCAUUAGUUGCUAUUUAUUCUAUUUGUUCUAUUUCUUGCUUUUACUUCUGCUUUUAUUGUAGACGCCUUAUAUAUGUAGACAUAUGGCGGGUCUGGGCACGCUACCGGGAGGGCCUCCGCCGGUCCCGGGGCAUGACACCAGCCCCCUUAGAGGGCUUUCUUGUGCCCUAACUAGUGGAGAACAAGGUGAGAACUCUCCCCUCUUGGUUCUUCUCCAUUUUUGAUGGGUUUUUGCUUAUUUUGAUCUUCUCCUCUUUAUGUUUCUUUGCUCCUUGUUGGUUUCCUCCAUGGGAGAAGCUUGGAGCUCAUGAUUGGAGCUUCAUUGAGGGAAGAUCUUGGGAGCUUGUGGACUUUGGGCUUGUCGGAAGCCUUCUAGAGGUUAGUGGCUAACUUCUUUCCUCUAGAUCCUAAUUUUGCUGCUUUUUGUUGGUAGAAACCCUAGAUUUGGGAUAUUAGGGUUGGAAUUUGGGGAUUUUUGAUUUGUGGGCUUUAGGACCAAAUUGAUGGGUUUAGAACCUUCGUGUAGGUUGGGUUGGAAGGAUUCUUGCUCCCUUUUGGAGAUCAAGAGAGAUUUUCACCACUUUUAGUGAGUUUUUAGCCCUUUCCUUGAGUUGCUUAAUGUUUGAACUCAUGAUUUGUCGUUUCGAUGUUGUAACUCCCCUAACCUAUCUCUUAGGGUGCUAGGAGUGAUUACCGAAGCUUUGUUAGCAUUUUGGACGCCUGCGCGAAGACUUUGGUGGGUUUGGCUUCAUUGAAAUAGGGGAAAAUGCCUCCUACGUGGUUAAAUGUUUUCGUAUACUAUAAAUGCAUGCAUAUCCAUGUUGAAUAGAAUUCAUAUGAAUUUUAGAAUGCUUAAAACUCAUAUGUUAUGCAUCAUGAUAAAGAUUGACUCUAUGUUGUAGAGAGAAGCAUAUGCAUUGUUAGUAUGCAUGAGUUCAAUGUUCUAAUGAAUGAUCUAAGAUCAUGUUUCUUGUGUGGAAAAUGAUUAGAAUGAUAAGCUUUUAGACUUACUAUUCAUAUUGGGACAUUGUAAGCAAAAGUUUCAUAAAGGGGCACUUGAACUAGAAAAUCGUUGAACUACAACUUAGAGACAUGAUGAUAGGCCACUGGAAAUUUGCUAUAUUCCAUGUUUUAGACAUGAUGACAUAGAAAUAGGCCAUUGAGAUAGUUACUAUAUUCCGUGUUUUAGACACGAUGACAUAGAGGCAGGCCUUUGGGACAUGUGCUGUAUUCCGGGUUUUAGAUCCGAUGAAACAGUGAUGAACCACUGGGACCUGAGACGGACUUAUUCGCUUGCAUGUCAUUGUGCUCAUUCGCACAUACUUGUGAGGGUCGCUCCCUACAAGUCGGCACUCCGGAGAUAGCCAUCGCGACAUAUGCUCGCCCGUGCGGGAUUGGGCGCCAAAAUGGGAUGCCGUGGGGGAGGCUCAUUCCUAGAGUGGGGAUGUUGGCUACCACGGGGCCAUUGUUGGCACGGCGCAGGCCAGACUACCUACGGGUAGCUUCCACAGGAUUGGGUUACUGGUGACAUACUGUACCUUUUGAACAUUGACUAGAUUAGUAAAUAAUGACAUCUUUACUAUUUACAUUGUGGAUAUUGGGUUAGUUGCAUACUUAUGCAUUUACAUGUUGGAUACUCUUGUGCACAUGCUUGUAGUAGUUGCUUUCUUACUUAUGCAACUUCAUACUAAGUAGAGAUCAUGUGAUAGUUUAUUACUUAUGCAAAUCUAUGCUAAGUAGAGAUCAUAUGGUAGAUUAUUACUGAUGAAAGUAGUGACUUCAUGCUAUAUUGAGCUUCCAUUUCAGCGAGUUAUUUGUUCAUAUUAUUCUUACCUGCCUUGCUGUCACGCCCCGAGACCGCUACCAAUUUGGUCCGGCCCCGGGCGCGUCGAACAGACGCCGAACGGACAGGACCUCCCCUGUCCGUCCAAGGCUAACCAACAGAUCAUGUAUAAGAAUUUGCCCAGGAAUCAAUUCAUAAAUACACGAUCAAGAAGCACCACCAGUGCAACAAUCAAGAGCAAGAUACAAGUAUAGAAACAUAUACAAGUACAUAAGAGAGAAGGGGCUAUCCAUUACAUUCAUUUGAUUUACUACAUUUAAGUACGUCUUUUACAUUCUUCCAAAAAUAUAAGUACAAGCACUCAAACCUCACCCUAUACAACAUCUACUCUCAAAUACAAAAAGGGUGACAGCUAAUGCAAAAGGGAGGUAGCUAAUGCAACUAGAGCGCCGGGCCCUUACCACGAUCCUCACGCUCACCUGGGACGCCCGAACUCGAACCUAUGGUAAAAUGGGGGUGAGAACUAACUUCCUUAGUUCCCAGUGGGUUCGGCCGCCGACUCCGCCGAUCUCCCCACUAGGUCCAAGCGGGCAAAAGUAGAUAAUCGAUAGAUAGAUAGAUAAGGAAAGCGGUAAUGACAGAAGUAAAGCUACUCUACUAUGCCCAAUCAUAAAUAUAUGAAUGCAUGUACAAUGGAAUAGGUAAGCAAUUAACCCAUUAUCAUGUCCAAAGGUAAAGCUAUUUACUCGUUCAUCAAUCCCAUUUACUUGUUUCUUAAUCUCGUGGCUUCCCUGAAGGAGCCUACUGCUCACUAGCCAUCUCGAAGGUAGGGAGGGUCAACUCGCACUACGAACCGAGACCGUCUGCCGGGGCCUAAAAUAGGCAAUCCCUUGGGACCCAAAAUAGGCAAUCCCACGUGACCAACUCCGGAGCGCACUACUUGUGUGAGGCUUCCAUCACAAGAUUUAAAAACAGACCGUGAGCAUGAUCCAAUCCUCGUCUCGAGAAUACCCUAUCCUCUAGGGUUACCAUCAUCAUAUAGUCCAUAGGUUUCACAUACACUAUGACUCAUAUGUGUCAUUUGUUCUCUUAUACACUAUUAACUAGAUUGCCACUCGUCCAUUGUUUACUAUCGACUAGAUGCCACUCGUUCUUUGUUUAACACUAGACCAACCGUUGAGCCUAUCUCUUUCUUUGCACUAUAGGAUUCACAAUCUCGACCCAAUCCUUAUCGAUCCACUAUAUCAAGUAUCCAAUACAUGCUACGAUAUCAUCAAGGAAAGCAUAAGGAAAGGCAAUGCACAAUCAUCCUAUAAUGCAAUAAUACAAGAUGCAAGAAUCGACAUGUACUAAGACAUAGAAGGGAGCCCGAUUGCUUCGGGAUGGACACCACCCACCUCUUGGCGAUGCCGCGAUGAUAGAAGACUCGGCGUUGUGGUUCUUGCACGUCGCCCUAACUCCUCGGGGCGAAGCGAGCCCUCGAGUACCCGAUUCGGCGAUAACUCCGCACUCGCUCGUCGGAUCGGCAAACCGUCUUCGCCGACGCGUUCCGGGACCUAACAAUUAGGUUUGCGACCUAAUAGAUUAGAUCAAAACCCUAGAUUUCGAAAAUCCCCAAUUCCGUGCACUAGAAUGGCAAUGGGGAAGAAAUCCGUGGUGCGAGCUUCGAUUGCGAGCCCGAACCACCUAUUCAUCUCCUCUAGGUUCCAUUUGAACCAAUUCUAAGCAAUAAAACCCAAUCCUAAGAAAUCUACCAUGAGUGGGUUUGGAGCUUACCUCUAAGCCAAGCUCCAAGCUUGCCCUAGCUUGAAGGAGAGAGGGAAGAAGAUGAUCUUCUCCUUCUUCUUGAUCUUCUCCUUCUCUUUUCUCUUCUUUUCAUUCUUCUUCUUCUUCUUCUUCUUCUUCUUCUUUCUUCUUCUCUUUCUUUUCUUUCUAAAGAGAGAGAGGGAAAGAGUGAGAGAGUUAGAGAGCAAUGAGGGAAAGAGAGGGGUCCCCCACCUCUAUUAAAGGCCAUUUUGCAGAUAGCCCCCUCAACUUUUCAUCCUUCAAACCAGCCCUCUUUGGGCAUUUUCGCAGUGAGGGACCGGUCCCAGCUCGGGGAUACCGGUCCCCGAAGGCUACCAUCUCGGGCAGAGGGAUUUUCGCGUUCGGGAACCGGUCCUUGCCUGAGAGACUGGUUCCUGGGAGACCGUUCCUUGUCCGAGAGACCAGUUCCCGAAAGUUGGAUUCUCGAGACUUAGCCAAAUUUUUGGCCAUUCUCGCCGGGCUGACGUUCGGGAACUGGUCCCUGCCUGCAAGGGACCGGUCUCAUCAGAGACCCCCGCAGCCCAGCCCAAUGGAACCGGUCCCUCCCUGCCAGGGACCGGUCCCCGGGAGCAAUUCUUCUCCAGUGCAGAUUUUGCACUGGUGCUCCAGCGGACCCUUCCUUAAUGCACUUUAUGCAUUAUAAUCACCCUCGGACUUUCUAAAGCUUACGCACUCGACAACUAGUCGAUUCUAAUCGAAGUCUAAUCCUCGAGUUUCGAGAAUUCACUUCCUCACAUCCUUCCCACCUUAAAAGAGUUUCGUCCUCGAAACGAACUCAAUACUACAAUACUUAAUUAGAAUUCCAAAUUCUAAACUCAUACCUCGAUUUAACCUUCGAACAGGCGAGGAUGAUUCGCCUUCAUCUCCUCCUCGAGCUCCCAGGUGGCUUCGCGAUCAUCAUGAUUGCUCCACCGGACUCGGACAUAAGGAAUUUCCCGAUUCCUUAACUUGCGCACUUCACGAGCGGUAAUUGCCACCGGAAACUCCUCGUAGCUCAGGUCCUCCUGAAGUUCCGGCGGUUCGUAUAACAUCGCGUGCUCGGGGUCAGGAAUGUAUUUGUGUAGAUUGGAGACGUGGAAUACAUUGUGCACAUCCGCUAGCUUCGGCGGCAACGCGAGCCGAUAAGCCACCGUCCCAAUCCGCUCCAAGAUCUCAUAGGGGCCAAUAUAUCGGGGGCUCAAUUUUCCCCGAACUCCAAAUCGCCUUACACCCCUCAUAGGCGAGACCUUCAAGAAGACACGGUCGCUCACCGCAAACUCUAGAUCUCGUCGGCGCCUAUCCGCAUAGCUCUGUUGUCGAGACUGCGUCGUGAGUAAUCGUUUGCGAGCAAGGCGGACCUUUUCUUCCGCCUCCCGCAGCACAUCAGGGCCAGAUUCCGUGCGCUCGCCCACGUUACUCCAAUAAAUGGGAGAGCAGCACUUCCGCCCAUAAAGAGCUUCGAACGGUGCCAUCUCCACACUAGCGUGAUAACUGUUGUUGUAGACGAACUCGGCCAUUGGCAAAUACUUACACCAACCUCCUUUGUAGUCGAUGACACACGCUCGCAACAUAUCCUCCAGCGUCUGAAUGGUUCUUUCAGUUUGUCCGUCUGUCUAGGGAUGAAAUGCAGUACUGAAGUCAAGCCGCGUGCCAAGGGCCUCCUGUAGGCUUUCCAGAAAUGUGAAGUGAACUUGGGGUCUCUAUCCGACACAAUCGAUUUCGGCACCCCGUGUAACCUCACUACUUCAUCAAGAUAUACCUGCGCCAACUUAUCUCCCGCCCAGGUGGUGUGGAUCGGUAAAAAGUGCGCUGACUUUGUCAAGCGGUCCACAAUCACCCAGAUCGCGUCGUGUUUCCCUAUCGAGCGAGGUAAGCCAACGAUAAAAUCCAUAGAUAUAUCCUCCCAUUUCCAGACGGGAAUAGGUAGGCUUUGAAGCUUCCCCGCUGGAAACCGGCGCUCCGCCUUUACUUGCUGACAAGUCAAGCACUUUGCCACGAAGCGCCCAAUAUCGGCCUUCAUCCCUGGCCACCAAUAGAGUGCUCUCAACUCAUGAUACAUCUAGGUGCCGCCCGGGUGAUCCGCGUAUGGAGACCGGUGGGCUUCCUGCAAAAUCAGCUCGUGAAGCUCUUCAUUCUCGGGCACGCACCACCGGUUUCGAAACCGAAGCGCGCCACCGACGUCCACACUAAAAUCGCCAUUUCGUCCUUCCUCGACGUUGCGCCACACCUCUUGGAGACUCGGAUCUGCAGGUUGCAAGUUUCUGAUCCUCUCCAAUAAGGUCGGUUGAAUAACGAGCGCCAUCAGCUAAGCCGGGAUCUCGGGAGCAACCACUUCGAGGUCCAGUCGCUCCAUCUCCAGCCCUAGGGGUGUUUGCCGAGUAACAUCAAAAGCGAGGUUCUUCGCCGACUUUUUGCUAAGUGCGUCUGCAACCACAUUUGCUUUGCCGGGGUGGUAGAGAAUAUCGACAUCAUAGUCCUUUAAUAGCUCUAGCCACCGCCUCUGUCGCAUGUUCAGCUCCUUCUGGGUAAACAGAUACUUCAGACUUUUGUGGUCGGUGUAGAUCUCGCAGUGUGCACCGUACAGGUAGUGCCUCCACAACUUCAACACGAAGAUCACCGCCGCCAACUCCAAGUCAUGGAUGGGGUAAUUCUUCUCGUGGUCCUUCAGCUGACGGGAUGCAUAAGCUAUCACCCUCCCGUCUUGCAUCAGAACACACCCCAAGCCCAGAUAGGAUGCAUCGCUAUAGACCACAAAGUCCUCGCCCUGCACCGGUAAGGCGAGUAUUGGAGCCGACGUCAAUCUUUUCUUCAACUCGUUGAAGCUUUGAUCACACUCGUCGCUCCAAAUAAACUUGACGCCCUUCUGAGUUAAACUGGUAAGUGGAGUUACAAUCUUCGAAAAACCUUCCACAAACCGUCGAUAAUAGCCCGCUAAGCCCACAAAGCUUCGGACCUCCGUGACGUUCGUCGGGCGUGGCCAAUUCUCGACCGCUUCGACUUUCCUCGGGUCAACCGAAACACCGCCCUCGGAAAUCACAUGCCCCAAAAAGGCAACCUCUCGAAGCCAGAAAUCACACUUCUUCAGCUUUGCGAAUAGCUUCUCCUCCCGAAGGAUUUGAAGCACCGUCCGCAAAUGCUCCGCGUGCUCCUCGUCGUCCCGCGAAUAGACCAAGAUGUCGUCUAUGAAGACCACGACAAAUCGGUCCAAGCACGUCUUGAACACACGGUUCAUCAGAUCCAUGAAUGCGGCCGGGGCAUUAGUGAGCCCGAAAGGCAUAACCGUGUACUCAUAGUGUCCAUAACGCGUGCGAAACGCGGUUUUCUGAAUAUCCUCCGACUUAAUCUUUAACUGAUGGUAGCCGGAUUGUAGGUCUAUCUUCGAGUACACUCGUGACCCCUGUAACUGAUCAAAUAAGUCAUCGAUUCGGGGCAACGGGUACUUAUUCUUUAUCAUGACCCUAUUCAACUCUUGAUAGUCCACGCAGAGUCGAAAUGAGCCAUCCUUCUUGCGCACGAACAACACCGGGGCUCCCCACGGUGAUACGCUCGGCCUGAUGAACCCUUUGUCGAGAAGAUCUUGUAACUGAUCCCUCAGUUCUCUUAACUCUGCCGGCGCCAUGCGGUAUGGGGCCUUCGAGAUUGGCACCGUCCCGGGAAUCAAGUCUAUAACGAACUCGAUCUCCCGAUCCGGCGGCAUCCCCGGUAACCCCGUGGGAAAUACAUUUGGAAAUUCCCGCACCACCGAUAAAUCCUCUAAACUCGGAGCCACUCGGUCCACUUCCAUGACAGUCGCCAAAAAUGCUACGCAGCCGCCGUUGACCAACUUUCUAGCUCUCGUCGCCGAUAUCGUCGCGACGAAGCAAGAGCUUCGACAAGCUCGAUAAAUGAACUCCUCCUGUCCUGGCUCCCGAAUGGUGAUCAAUUUAUUCUUACAAUCAAUCGUGGCGUAAUACUUUGAGAGCCAAUCCAUGCCCAAAAUGACGUCAUACGCCUCCAGUUUCUUAAGUUCCAACAUCCGGAUGGGCAUUAUCCAGUCGCCUACUUGUACUGGGCAUGACGAGCACUCCGUAUAGGUAUUAAAUGAUGACUCGGGACCUUCGACUCGCCACUUGCCACUUGCUUCUAUGGGUAUGUCAUGCAUGCGUGCAAAUGCCCUACUAAUAAAUGAAUGCGUGGCACCCGUAUCGAACAUAGCUCUGGAGCGAACUCCAUUAAUUAGAACCAUACCUGCCACAACAUCAGGCUCCUCGGCUUGGGCAGGCUCUUCGGUAUGGGCCUGAGCGGCGAAUACCCGUCCGCUCGGCGCUGAUCGAGUCACCUCCGGCUGGCACGGCGCCAGUGCGCGUCCCGCCGAUACGGGAACAUACGAGGCCCCUCCUUGAUAAGGCGAGGGCGCUGGAGUCGAUGCAACCGACGAAGUAGACGAGGCCCUUGCCGGACAGUCACGACUGACGUGUCCCUCUUGUCCACAAUUAAAGCACCGUCCUUGUCGUUGUCUACACUGCGGUGCCCGAUGGCCUCGAUCUCCACAGAUAGGGCACCGCUGCGGCCCACGGCCCCACGACUGCGACUGCGGAUACUUCGGGGGCCUCCUCGAACUCGAUUGUCCCCCCGAACCGCCGCCCGAUCGCUUCUUCCCCUUGUCUUGGGAUCCGGCCAACAACUCACGCUCCUCUCGCACAUGGGCAUCUCUAUGCUCUGCCCAUAACGCCUUAUUGAAAACCUCGGCGAAAGUCGUGAGCUGGAACAAUUGCACCGCUCUAUAUAUCCACGGCCGAAGUCCUCGCAAGAACCACUCAGCUCGAUCCGCGUCGUCCUUAACCACGUCCGGGACGCAGUCUAUAAUGUGGGAGAACUCUUGUUCGUAAUCCGCCACCGAACGAUCCCCCUGCCUCAAUUUGCGAAACCUCUCCUUUAGCUUUCGCUUCUCGGUGUCGGGGAAGUAAUUCCCAAACAUCUCCUUCUUAAACUCCUCCCAGAGCAUUGGUGGAAGGUCAGAGGGUCGAUCCCGCUUCAACCGCUUCCACCACACCUUGGCCGCCUUGUCGAGGCAAUGGGUGGCGAAAGGCACCUUAUCUUUCUCCGGGGUGUACAGGUCCUCGAAGAGAGUCUCCAUCGAGUCAACCCAAGACUCCACCACUGACGGCUCCACUUUCCCCCCUUCAAAAGUUGGUGGUUUAAACUUCAUGAACUUCAUCAGAGCCGUCAGCGCACACUCCCGCUCCACUUCGUCGACCGUCGUCUCGAGUGUCGCCGAACCCGAAGCUGUCGGAGGCGCAUUUGUCGGCGGGGGAACCGCUGCCAUCGGAACCGCCGCUAUGCCCUCACCCUCGGCCGCUACCGGCGUGCGUGCCGAAGGUGCGGGCGGAUCGCGAUCUCCUGCCGCCGUCGCGGCCGCCACCGCUGCCGCUUGCCGCUCCACAACUUCCUGGAGCUGCUCGAACCGAGCCUCCUGGCGCUGCAUCGCGCCCAACAUUGCAGCGACCUGCUCCCGCAGCUCCUGCACCUCCUCCGAUCUUGGCUGCUCGGGCUCCGCAGAAGGCGGCACCGGAGCAGACCUACGCGCAUAACGCCUUGGGGACAUUUGCUCCUGAAAAGCAACAACUCGGUUAGUUAUCUCAAUCCGAUAACCUUGCAACGUUCGCGAAUUUAAACGACUCAAUAGUAAAAUCAGGCGGAAGCUCGCAAGUGCUCUAGUGUCGGACUCUUAGCGUUGCGUCGUCGGCCGCCGACACAACCACUACGAGCCAAGAACUAGUGUCACUUGGAUCCGUCUCUAUUCACAGCUAGAGACACAACAUCAACCUGACCCAAUCACUCAACUCCCGCCACCGCCAUGGGUUCACGUUCACUCACGUCCCUAUAACCUUAGGGUUUACCAACUUAGGGUCUCCUAGGUUAUCCUAGACUCUCUCUUUACUUGCUCUGGUGCUCUGAUACCACUUUAUCUGUCACGCCCCGCGACCGCUACCAAUUUGGUCCGGCCCCGGGCGCGUCGAACAGACGCCGAACGGACAGGACCUCCCCUGUCCGUCCAAGGCUAACCAACAGAUCAUGUAUAAGAAUUUACCUAGGAAUCAAUUCAUAAAUACACGAUCAAGAAGCACCACCAGUGCAACAAUCAAUAGCAAGAUACAAGUAUAGAAACAUAUACAAGUACAUAAGAGAGAAGAGGCUAUCCAUUACAUUCAUUUGAUUUACUACAUUUAAGUACGUCUUUUACAUUCUUCCAAAAAUAUAAGUACAAGCACUCAAACCUCUCCGUAUACAACAUCUACUCUCAAAUACAAAAAGGGUGACAGCUAAUGCAAAAGGGAGGUAGCUAAUGCGACUAGAGCGCCUUGCCCUUACCACGAUCCUCACGCUCACCGGGGACGCCCGAACUAGAACCUGUAAAGAGUGGGGUGAGAACUAACUUCCUUAGUUCCCAGUGGGUUCGGCCGCCGACUCCGCCGAUCUCCCCACUAGGUCCAAGCGGGCACAAGUAGAUAAUCGAUAGAUAGAUAGAUAAGGAAAGCGGUAAAUGACAGAAGUAAAGCUACGCUACUAUGCCCAAUCAUAAAUAUAUGAAUGCAUGUACAAUGAAAUAGAUAAACAACUAACCCAUUAUCAUGCCCAAAGGUAAAGCUAUUUACUCGUUCAUCAAUCUCAUUUACUUGUUUUUUAAUCUCGUGGCUUCCCUGAAGGAUCCAAAUUUUACUUGUUUCCUUAAUCUCGUGGCUUUCCUCGAUGUUGCGCCGCACCUUUUGCCAGACUCGGAAUUUGCAGGUUUGCAAAUUUCUGAUCCCUGCUCCAAUAAGGUCGUUUGAAUAACGAAGCGCCAUCAGCUGAGCCCGGGACCCUCGGGAAGCGACCACUUCGAAGUCCAGUAACGUCCAUCUCCAGCCCCUAGGUGUUUGCCGGGUAACAUCCAAAAGCGAGGGUUCUUCGCCGACUUUCUAGCUAAGGUCCAUCCCGACUACAUUUGCUUUAUCCGGGGUGUGAGAAUAUCGACAUCAUAAUCCUUUAAUAGCUCUAGCCACCGCCUUUGCCGCAUGUUUAGCUCCUUCUGGGUAAAUAAAUACUUCAGACUUUUGUGGUCGGUGUAGAUCUCACUGUCACCCCCCGCGACCGCCUAUUUGGUCGGUUUCGGGCAUGCCGACAGACCGCCGAACGGACAGGGUUUCCCCUGUACUGCGGGCAGAGUCUCCCCUAUACGUUCAAGGCAUAGCAAUCAAUACAAUAUGCGAAGUUCCAACCAGGAACACAUUUCAAUCAAGAUUGCAUAAUGGAAGGUAUCAAACAACAUAAACACAUCCUAUAUUAUUACAUUCAUUCAUAUUCAUGCAUUUUACACCUCAACUACCAUUCCUUUUUCAUUCAAAUGCAAUCUAAAUUAUUACAACAUUUAUAUCUUUAAUACAUCAUGUUACAUUGUGUUUUUUUCAUUUCUUUAACCCCUAAGCUAUGUCGACGGGGUACUGCUAGCUCUGGUCUCUAGGGUAGGGCGCUAUCUACGGAGAUACGCCCUUUCCUCGCGCCGCCGCGCCGCUCACGUGCGAACCUGUAAACACCCCAAAACCACGUGGGGUGAGAACCAACUCCAUGGUUCCCAGUGGGUACGGCCACCCAAGGGAAAAGCUCGACUAAUAGGUCCAAGGGAGGCAACUGCAAGUUAGUUCAAUAAACAGAUAGCUAUAUAUCUUGAUUAUGCAACGAAUAAAACCAUGCAUUGCCUCACGAAUGCAAUAAUGCAAUGCUAUAUGCAAAUCAUGCAAUAAUGCAACUAUGCAACAAACUAGUAGUUCAUUCGAUACUACUUUCAAUUCUGCUAACCAUAGCUCAUCCGUUUGAUAUCUAAGGUUUCCUUUAUCUUAGAUUCUUGUCAAUCACCGUUUUAAUCAUAAAGUUUCAUCUACCUUUACAAGGCUAACCACCCGACUCGGUCUUGAGUUAAUCGUCUGCGGAGUACCGCACUAGAACAAGGCUCGAGGCGAUGGACGUCUCACUUACACCUCAGCCCUAAAUCCUCUCGACUAGGAUACCAAAUCCAUAACUCAUAAUGCAUACUUGUUUUACAUUCAUUUAGCUAUGACCCAAUCUUACCGGUUAACCAUGUUAACCCCAAUAACUCACCACCAAAAUCCCUUAAUAACGGGGGACUCGAACCUCCCUGGGGACCGUCAUCUGGGGGGACUUUACCACGCCCAGUGGUGACCAACUCCGGAGCGCACCGCCCGAGGGGUAGCUACCUCCCUCAAGCCAAGACGUAACGUGAGUAUCGAUCCAAUCCUCAACUUGAGGAUUCAUAGCCACUCGUUACAAUGCCAAUGUCAUGAUAGGUCUCUACCUAUUUAAUCAUGCAACUCUCUAUGUCAACUUGGACCAAUGUCAAUAUGGUUAAAUUAUAUUUAACAAUCACUUUCUUGAUGUCAAUCAUGUCUCUAUUGUCACUGUCACCUUUGUUUACUAAUGUUCAAGUCCAACUCUCACAUUUACACAAUAAUAGGGUCCUAACAUACAUGAAUGACACCAGAAUAUACAUGCUCAAUCACCACGAGUGUUUGCUAGGUUCAAGAUACUAGGUUUAAUGCCACUCGAUCUAAUAUAUAUAUAGAUUGUCUAUUACGUUUCACAACAUGGCAAUAUGUCAUCAAGUAUGUUUUUCUAUUUAACAUAAUCCACAAUAUGUAAAUUCAUAAUAUAUCAUCAUGCACAUAUACCACUAGCAUCACAUGAUAUGUCAACAUACAUAUAGUCAUUAUCCAAAAUAGUCCAUACUUAGCAUCUCAUGCAUUCUUUUAGCACUUAAUUCAUUAUGCAUUACAUUUAGCAUAUUCUACAACAUGUCAUCAUACAUUCCUUUUAUGAUGUUCUUAUAAUGCUAACAUUCAUACGCCCUUUAUAUUAUGCAUUCAAAACAUUAAUCAUAUGCAUUUCUAUAGUAUGUUAACAUGCAUUCUUUUCACAUUCUUAUAUUAUGUCAAUAUGCAUCAAUAUGAAAUCUCAUUUCUCUUAGACAUAUAGGCGACCUAGUCGCUUCGGUAAGUACAACCCACCUCAAAUCGCUUUCCGAUUGCUUGUCGACACUUACAAUCGGCCGCCCGCGGCACCCGGUACCCGGUUUGGCCCGAUCCCUCGCGCGACUACCUGAACGGCCUCCAAUUCACAAUCCGAAAAUUAAAGGUCUUCGGUUAUGUGCCACGAUGCUUCAAAUCCAUUUUCAUGAGUUUACGACAUCGGCUCGGCCCUCCAGGCGGAAACGAAGCCUAAACGUCCGUUUCUUUAAUAACUUCGCAACGGCUCGACGAAUCGCCGAACCGACUUCGCCAACGCGUUCGUUUACCUAGCAAUUAGGUUUACAUAGGGUCAAAAUAGAUCAAACCCAUCUAUUAGCAAAAAUUGCAUUUUGAACCCUAUGCUUCAUCUAUUGCAAGAAUUAAUUAAAUUGAUCCUAGAUGCUAGCAUUUAUCAUUUAUUUAGCAUGCUAGGAUCCCAAAUAAACCAUUUCUAUGGAUUAUAAAUGAAGCUUUAAAGAUCUACCAUGAGAGGGUUCAAAAAGCUCAUUUCAAGCCCUAGUUUACAACUAGACAAGAAAUCAUUAAAUCGAUCCGUGAUUUAAGCAACAAUCAUCUCUUUAGCAUGCUAGAUUAGCUCUAAAUCCAUUCUUGAAGCUUAAAACCCAAACUACAAAGAGAUACCAUUAAAGGGCAUCAAAGCUUACCUUGCAAGCAAGCUCCAAUGGAGAGAAAGAAGAUAAAAGAGAUGAAGAUCAACCUCCAAGCUUGCUUUUCCUCCAAUUUCAUCAAUUUUGGGAGAGAUUUAGAGAGAGAAAGGAGAGCUCUCUUCCUCCCUCUCCUUGCGUGUGUGUGGCGUGUGUGUGUGUGUGCAUUCGGCUGAGGAGAAGAAGAAGAAAAGGGAUUAAAUCCCUUUUUACAAAUCAGCCCCUCAACUUUUACACUAUUCACUCCCGGGCAGCUGUUUAGCAGUUCGGAACAGUUGGAGCCCUUCUAAAUGUCCAUUUGAGCUCAAAUUUGACAGGCAGGCUCAGUUUAAUGUACUGAGUAAGAAUAUAUCUUAAGUUUUCAUUUUCGACCCCAUUUGGUCACUGAAAACUGUGCCGAAUUGUAAUCUUUAUCAGAUAGCUGUCGGAUUUUAUUUCUCACUCUACGGGUGUCAGAAAAAUAUGAAACUUUAAAUCUAACCUCUAAAAAUAUUUCUGACUUAUCCUCCAAUUUUCAUAAUUUUCUGAUACUGUGCAUUUUCUGCUAAUUUAUCUGUCCCGUUUUCAACAAAAAAUUCUAGAUUUUCUGUUUUCAUUCUGAUUUCAGCAUAAGUCACUUUGACUUAUAUUUUACUUCUACAAAUCCAAUAAAAAUAGUUUAUCACACUAUUUUUAUUUAUUUUUAUUUUUAUAGCAAAAUCCGGUAUGUUACACUCGCAGUGUGCACCGUAUAGGUAAUGCCUCCACAACUUCAGCGCAAAGAUCACCGCCGCCAACUCCAAGUCAUGGAUGGGGUAAUUCUUCUCGUGGUCCUUCAGCUGACGGGAUACAUAAGCUAUCACUCUCCCGUCCUGCAUCAGGACACACCCCAAGCCCAGAUAGGAUGCAUCGCUAUAAACCACAAAGUCCUCGCCCUGCACCGGUAAGGCGAGUAUUGGAGCCGACGUCAAUCUUUUCUUCAACUCAUUGAAGCCUCGAUCACAUUCGUCGCUCCAAAUAAAUUUGACGCCCUUCUCAGUCAAACCGGUAAGCGGAGUUACAAUUUUUGAAAAGCCCUCCACAAACCGUCGAUAAUAGCCCGCUAAGCCUAUAAAGCUUCGGACCUCCGUGACGUUCGUCGGGCGUGGCCAAUUCUCGACCGCUUCGACUUUCCUCGGGUCAACCGAAACACCGCCCUCGAAAAUCACAUGCCCUAAGAAGGCAACCUCUCGAAGCCAGAAGUCACACUUCUUUAGCUUUGCGAAUAGCUUCUCCUCCCGAAGGAUUUGAAGCACCGUCCGCAAAUGCUCCGCGUGCUCCUCGUAGCUCCGCGAAUAGACCAAGAUGUCGUCUAUGAAGACCACGACAAAUCGGUCCAAGCACGCCUUGAACACACGGUUCAUCAGAUCCAUGAAUGCGGCCGGGGCAUUAGUGAGCCCGAAAGGCAUAACCGUGUACUCAUAGUGUCCAUAACGCGUGCGAAACGCGGUCUUCUGAAUAUCCUCCGGCUUGAUCUUUAACUGAUGGUAGCCGGAUUGUAGGUCUAUCUUCGAGUACACUCGUGACCCCUGCAAUUGAUCAAAUAAGUCGUCGAUUCGGGGUAACGGGUACUUGUUCUUUAUUGUGACCUUAUUCAACUCUCGAUAAUCCACGCAGAGUCGAAACGAGCCAUCCUUCUUGCGCACGAACAACACCGGCGCUCCCCACGGCGAUACGCUCGGCCGGAUGAACCCUUUGUCGAGAAGAUCUUGUAAUUGAUCCCUCAAUUCCCUUAACUCUGCCGGCGCCAUACAGUAUGGGGCUUUCGAGAUUGGCGCCGUCCCGGGAAUCAAGUCUAUAACGAACUCGAUCUCCCGAUCCGGCGGCAUCCCCGGUAACUCCGUGGGAAAUACAUCCGGAAAUUCCCGCACCACCGAUAAAUCUUCUAGUUUUGGUACCACCCGGUCCACCUCCACGACGGUCGCCAAAAAUGCCGCGCAACCGCCGCUGACCAACUUCCUAGCUCUCGUCGCCGAUACUGUCGCGACGAAGCAAGAACUCCGAUAAGCUCGAUAAACGAACUCCUUCUGUCCUGGCUCCCGAAAGGUGAUUGAUUUAUUCUUACAAUCAAUCGUGGCGUAAUACUUUGAGAGCCAGUCCAUGCCCAAAAUGACGUCAUACGCCUCUAGUUUAGUGAGUUCCAACAUCCGGAUGGGCAUUAUCCACUCACCUACUUGUACUGGGCAUGACGAGCACUCCGUAUAGGUAUUAAAUGAUGACUCGGGACCUCGACUCGCCACUUGCCACUUGCUUCUAUGGGUAUGUCAUGCAUGCGUGCAAAUGCUCUACUAAUAAAUGAGUGCGUGGCACCCGUAUCGAACAUAGCUCUGGAGCGAACUCCAUUGAUUAGAACCAUACCUGCCACAACAUCAGGCUCCUCGGCUUGGGCAGGCUCCUCGGCAUGGGCCUGAGCGGCGAAUACCCGUCCGCUCGGCGCUGAUCGAGUCACCUUCGGCUGGCGCGGCGCCAGAGCGCGUCCCGCUAAUACAGGAACAUACGGGGCCCCUCGUUGAUAAGGCGAGGGCACUGGAGUCGAUGCGACUGACGGAGUAGACGAGGCCCUUGCCGGACAGUCGCGGCUAACGUGUCCUUCUUGUCCACAAUUAAAGCACCGUCCUUGUCGUUGUCUACACUGCGGUGCCUGAUGACCUCGAUCUCCACAGAUAGGGCACCGUUGCGGCCCACGGCCCCACGACUGCGACCGCGGAUACUUGGGGGGCCUCCUCGAACUCGAUUGUCCCCCCGAACCGCCGCCCGAUCGCUUCCUCCCCUUGUCUUGGGAUCCAGUCAACGACUCAAGUUCUUCCCGCACGUGGGCAUCCCCAUGUUCCGCCCACAGCGCCUUGUUGAAAACCUCGGCGAAAGUUGUGAGCUGGAACAACUGCACCGCUCUAUAUAUCCAUGGCUGAAGUCCCCGCAAGAACCAUUCGGCCCAAUCCGCGUCGUCCUUAACCACGUCCGGGACGCAGUCUAUAAUGUGGGAGAAUUCCUGUUCGUAGUCUACCACCGAACGAUCCCCCUGUCUCAAUUUGCGAAACCUCUCCUUUAGCUUUCGCUUCUCGGUGUCGGGGAAAUAAUUCCCAAACAUCUCCUUCUUAAACUCCUCCCAGAGCAUUGGUGAAAGGUCAGAGAGUCGAUCCCGCUUCAACCGCUUCCACCACACCUUCGCCGCCUUUUCGAGGCAAUAGGUGGCGAGGGGCACCUUAUCCUUAGGUCCUCGAAGAGGGUCUCCAUAGAGUCAAUCCAAGACUCCACUGCCGACGGCUCCACCUUUUUCCCUUCAAAAGUUGGUGGUUUAAACUUCAUAAACUUCAUAAGAGCCACCAGCGCACAUUACCGCUCCACUUCGUCGGCCGUCGUGUCGAGGUGUCGCCGAACCCGAAGCUGUCGGAGGGCGCACUUGUCGGCGGGGGAACUGCCGCCAUCGGAACCGCCGCUAUGCCCUCACCCUCGGCCGCUACCGGCGUGCGUGCCGAAGGUGCGGGCGGAUCGCGAUCUCCUGCCGCCGUCGCGGCCGCCGCCGCUGCCGCUUGCCGCUCCACAACUUCCCUGGAGCUGCUCGAACCGAGCCUCCUGGCGCUGCAUCGCGCCCAACAUUGCAGCGACCUGCUCCCGCAGCUCCUGCACCUCCUCCGAUCUUGGCUGCUCGGGCUCCGCAGAAGGCGGUACCGGAGCAGACCUACGCACAUAACGCCUUGGGGACAUUUGCUCCUGAAAAGCAACAACUCGGUUAGUUAUCUUAAUCCGAUAACUUCCUCAAUGUUAACGAAAUUAAACGACUCGACAACGAAAUCGGGCGGAAGCUCACAAGUGUUCCAGUUCUGGACUCUUAGCGUCGCGUCGUCGGCCGCCGACACAACCACUAUGAGCCGAGAAACUAGUAUCACUUGAAUCCGUCUCUAUGCACGGCUAGAGACAUAGCACCAACUUCGACCCAAUCAAUCAACUUCCGCCAUCGCCAUGGGUUCACAGUCACUCACGUCCCUAUAACCUUAGGGUUUGCCAACCUAGGAUCUCCUAGGUCAUCCUAGACUCUCUCUUUACUUGCUCUGGUGCUCUGAUACCACUUUAUCUGUCACGCCCCGAGACCGCUACCAAUUUGGUCCGGCCCUGGGCGCGUCGAACAGACGCCGAACGGACAGGACCUCCCCUGUCCGUCCAAGGGUAACCAACAGAUCAUGUAUAAGAAUUUACCCAGGAAUCAAUUCAUAAAUACACGAUCAAGAAGCACCACCAGUGCAACAAUCAAGAGCAAGAUACAAGUAUAGAAACGAAUACAAGUACAUAAGAGAGGAGGUGCUAUCCAUUACAUUCAUUUGAUUUACUACAUUUAAGUACGUCUUUUACAUUCUUCCAAAAAUAUAAGUACAAGCACUCAAACCUCACCCUAUACAACAUUUACUCUCAAAUACAAAAAUGGUGACAGCUAAUGCAAAAGGGAGGUAGCUAAUGCGACUAGAGCGCCGGGCCCUUACCACGAUCCUCACGCUCACCGGGGACGCCCGAACUAGAACCUGGUAAGAGUGGGGUGAGAACUAACUUCCUUAGUUCCCAGUGGGUUCGGCCGCUGACUCCGCCGAUCUCCCCACUAGGUCCAAGCGGGCAAAAGUAGAUAAUCGAUAGAUAGAUAGAUAAGGGAAGCGGUAAAUGACAGAAGUAUAGCUACGCUACUAUGCCCAAUCAUAAUAUAUGAAUGCAUGUACAAUGAAAUAGAUAAACAACUAACCCAUUAUCAUGCCCAAAGGUAAAGCUAUUUACUCAUUCAGCAAUCUCAUUAACUUGUUUCUUAAUCUCGUGGCUUUCCUGAAGGAGCCUACUGCUCACUAGCCAUCUCAAAGGUAGGGAGGGUCAACUCGCAUUACGAACCGAGACCGUCUGCCGGGGCCUAAAAUAGGCAAUCCCUUGGGACCCAAAAUAGGCAAUCCCACAUGACCAACAUCCGGAGCGCACUACUUGUGUGGGGCUUCCAUCACAAGAUUUAGAAACAGACCGUGAGCAUGAUCCAAUUCUCGUCUCGAGAAUACCCUAUCCUCUAGGGUUAUAAUCAUCAUAUAGUCCAUAGGUCUCACAUACACUACGACUCAUAUGUGUCAUUUGUUCUUUUGCUUACUAUCAACGAAAUUGCCACUCGUCCAUUGUUUACUAUCGACUAGAUGCCACUCGUUCUUUGUUCAUUAUUAGACCGACCACUGAGCCCAUCACUUUCUCUGCACUAUAGGAUUCACAAGUCUUGACCCAAUCCUUAUCAAUCCACUAUAUCAAGUAUCCAAUGCAUGCUACAAUAUCAUCAAGGAAAGCAUAAGGAAAGGCAAUGCACAAUCAUCCUAUAAUGCAAUAAUACAAGAUGCAGAAUCGAACUGUACUAAGCCAUAGAAGGGAGCACGAUUGCUUCGGGAUGGACACCACCUACCUCUUGGCGAUGCCGCGAUGGUAGAAAACUCGACGCUGCGGUCUUUGCACGUCGCUUCAACUCCUCGGGGCGAAGCGAGCCCUCGAGUACUCGAUUCGGCGAUAACUCCGCACUCGCUCGUCGGAUCGAAAGACCGACUUCGCCGACACGUUCCGGGACCUAGCAAUUAGGUUUCCGACCUAUUAGAUUAGAUCAAAACCCUAGAUUUCCAAAAUCCCCAAUUCCGUGCCCGAGAAUGGCAACAAGGGAGAAAUCCGUGGUGCGAGCUUCGAUUGCGAGCCCGAACCAUCUAUUCAUCUCCUCUAGGUUCCAUUUGAACCAAUUCUAAGCAAUAAAACCCAAUCCUAAGAAAUCUACUAUGAGUGGGUUUGGAGCUUACCUCUAAGCCAAGCUCCAAGCUUGCCCUAGCUUGAAGGAGAGAGGGAAGAAGAUGAUCUUCUCCUUCUUCUUGAUCUUCUCCUUUCCUUUUCUCUUCUUUUCCUUCUUCUUCUUCUUCUUAUUCUUCUUCUUCUUCUUCUUCUUCUUCUCUUUCUUUCUAGAGAGAGAGGGAAAGAGUGUGAGAGAGAGAGAGAGCAAAUGAGAGCAAUGAGGGAAAGAGAGGGGUCCCCCACCUCUAUUAACGGCCAUUUUGCAGAUAGCCCCCUCAACUUUUCAUCCUUCCAACCAGCCCUCUCUGGGCAUUUUCGCAGUGAGGGACCGGUCCCAGCUCGGGGAGACCGGUCCCCGAAGGCUGCCAUUUCGAGCAGAGGGGUUUUCGCGUUCGGGAACCGGUCCUUGCCUGAGAGACCAGUCCCCGGGAGACCGGUCCUUGUCCGAGAGACCGGUUCCCGAAAGUUGGAUUCUCGGGACUUAGCCAAAUUUCGGCUAUUCACGCUGGGCUGGCGUUCGGGAACCGGUCCCUGCCUGCCAGGGACCGGUCUCAUCAGAGACCUCCGCAGCCCAGCCUGAUGGGACCGGUCCCUCCCUGCCAAUGACCGGUCCCCGAGAGCAUUUCUGCUCCAGUGCAAGUUUUGCACUGGUGCUCUCGCGGACCUCUCCUUAAUGCACUUUAUGCAUUUUAGCCACCUUCGGACUUUCCGAAGCUUACACACUCGACGAAUAGUCGAUUCCAAACCGAAGUCUAAUCCUCGGAUUUCGAGGAUUCACUUCCUUACAAUGUUAGUAUUAUAGCAUUCUUGCAUGUAGGGAAAUGAACGGUAUAUAUAUUGAUUGUAUCAAUUAUCUGCUUAAUCUGCUUAAGAUUAUUGUAGGUGUUAUAGAACCAUGUGAACAAGGAAAAUGAAUGACCCUACUAUGUGUAUGUGAAUGCGAGAACAGACUAUGACAAUAGUAAACAAAUGUUAAAUUGACAUUAGUGACUCGAUUGACAUCGAAAAGUGGAUAGUUAAACAAGGCUUAACCCAUAAUGGCAUUAUGAGUAGUGUGGCAUCGAGGUAUUGAGGCAUGAGACAGGUUUGGCUAUACCUCCUCAAAUUGAGGGUGGGAUCAUACUCACAAGUAUUGGUUCCGGCUUGUGUGGAAGGUCGCUCCUCCACAAGCGGUGUACUCCGGAGUGUAAGACACCACGGGUGAAAGUGCUUGGCGAAGAUCCCUCGGGUGGUUAUGCCUUGUGCCUCCCCCGGUAGAUGGGAUGUGUGGAUUGUGAGUCCGGGUAAACCAGGAGCACCCCGUGUUGAUUGGGUAAAGGCCAAGGAAAAUAAGAAAUGGACAUGCAUGCAUAAUUAACAUGUAUUCGAGUAUGAAUAUCUAUCUGUGGAUUGCUUUCUUGCAAGCAUUGUAUUAGAAUUGCAUUAGUUGGUUCGUUAUCCAUCUUUAUUGAAAUACAUAUGCCUAAAAUAGACCUAGUGGACGAAUCGGCGUGGUCGGCAGCCGAACCCACUGGGAACUUCUUUCUAGUUCUCAUUACCACUAACCCUGCAGAUCCGAGCACGUGCGGGGCGGUGGAGGAUCGCGGCAAGGGUAUCGUACCGUAGAUAGCGGCCUCGGAGUUGAUAGGCAUACCCUACAUUUUGGAGUACUCAACUAUUGUAUGUUGAAUUAAUAAUGUAAAAGUAAUGUAAUUCAUAUAUUUUGGGUUAAAGCCAAUGUGAUGUAAAUGUACUGGUAUACUUGUGUUUGGUUCAAAUGCAAUCAAAUGACAUGUUUGUGGAUGAAUGCAUAGCCUAGUUUCGAUGCUUUCACUUGUGGUUUUUGUUUGCCCUCGAGCAAACCUUGUAUAUCUUGCAAUCUUUUUAUUGUAUUGCUUGUUUUAUACAUGUUGUUGGAGCCUUGGGCGGACAGGGGUGGUGCUGUCCGUUCGGCGUCUGUCAUGUGCUCGAAUCUGACCAAAUCGGAGGAGCUCGGGGCGUGACACCAAUUGAGUGGAUUUAAGGCUGAGGUGUAAGUGAGAUGUCCUUUGCCUCGAGCCUGACUUUGAGCGGUAUUCCGCGGAUGAUUGACUCAAGACUGAGUCGGGUGGAUAGUAUUGUAAAGAUAGAUAAAACCUUAUGAACAGAAUUGUCAAUGACAUGAAUGAAAGAUUGAGGAAACCUUAGAAGUCAGUUCGAUGAGCUAUGGAUAGCGGAAUAAAAGUAGAAUCGGGUGAUCUACUUAGUUGAUUUCAUUGUAUGGUCGCAUGAUUGCAUAUAGCAUGUUGUGAGGCAUAAACAUGAUAACUGUUAGUUGCAUGAAUUUAUAUAGAUCUAUAGAUAUUUGUUGGACUAACAUGUUAUAGUGCCUCUUUCGGACCUGGUGGGUCGAGCUUUUUCCUUGGGUAGCUGUCACACCCCGGGACACAGCAUAGGCCCGCCCGGCGCGUGUCCAGACCCGCCAUAUGCCUGCGCAUAUAAGGCGUCUACAACAAAAGAGAUGCGAAAGCAAGAAGAAACAAGUAUCUAAAGAUAUCAGAGCUGCUAACAACUAAAAACUAGCGACAAGUAGAGAAAGAGUAAAGUAGUCCACUAAGCAUAAGCAUAAAAAGGUACAAUAAGAAUCACAAAGAAAUCCACAGUGGGGUGGUCUCUAUACAUAGAUAACUCUCCAAAACCUCUCCAAAAUAAAACAACGAGAGGUAGACCACCUAUCAACGCAUCCUCGAUAGCAAGCUAACUCGAGGCGAUACCCUUUCCGCGGUCCCUAGCCUCACCCGGAGUGGAAGGCUCUGAAAUAAAACAUAAAACAAAAAGGGCAUGAGAACUAUAAUUUAUAGUUCCCAGUGGGCAAUUACUGACCUCAGCUCAAUGCACCACUAGGCCCCAAAAGAAAGGGUCAGUAUGAUAAGCAACAAUAGUAGUAAUAGACAAUAAUAAGCUGCAGAAUUGAAAGCAUGAGUGAAAUGCUAUGCCACAAGUAAACGUGAUGUAUAUCAAAGCUAUCAUGUUUGAAUAUGCCAAUGUUGGAUGAAUACACUCAUCGGCUUCCAAGUAUACUAAGAUGCAAUGAGUAAUUCUAUCAAGUAUACUACAUGUUCCAAUAUCUCAAAGCCACACUAUGAGUAUGUCCAAUAAUCCAACUACUAUGAUCUAUUUAGCAGUGAUUCAAAUUUAAGAGGUUAUGUCCAAAUUCAAUCUUGUUUUGGGACCUACACGAGUGUAGUCCGGCUUGCGCCGCCUAAGUGUCGGUGGUAGCUCCAACAUUUCCACUCUGAAAAUGAGUCUAUCCCUCCCGACCCCGUAGUCUUCUCGAUACAGCACGAGCGAUCAUAAGUCGCGUAGGCCAACUCCGUAUCGCCGUGGGGAGCCCCGGUGUUGUUCAUGCGCAAGAAGGAUGGCUCGUUUCGACUCUGCGUAGACUAUUGAGAGUUGAAUAGAGUCACAAUAAAGAAUAAAUACCCGUUGCCCCGAAUUGACGACUUAUUCAACCAAUUACAAGGGUCACGAUUGUACUCGAAGAUAGACCUGCAAUCCGGCUAUCAUCAGUUGAAGAUUAAGUCGGAAGAUGUCCAGAAGACCGCGUUUCGCACGCGUUAUGGACACUAUGAGUACACGGUUAUGCCUUUCGGGCUCACUAAUGCCCCGGCGACGUUCAUGGAUCUAAUGAACCGUGUGUUUAGGGCGUGCUUGGACCGAUUUGUCAUGGUCUUCAUAGACGACAUCUUGGUCUAUUCGAGGAGUGACGAGGAGCACGCGAAGCAUUUACGGAUAGUGCUUCAAAUCCUUCGGGACGAGAAGCUAUUUGCAAAGCUAAGAAAAUGUGACUUUUGUCUUCGAGAGGUUGCCUUUUUAGGGCAUGUGAUUUCCGAGGGUGGUGUUUCGGUUGACCCAAGGAAAGUCGAAGCGGUCGAGAAGUGGCCACGCCCGACGAACGUCACGGAGGUCCGAAGCUUUGUGGGCUUAGCGGGCUAUUAUCGACAGUUUGUGGAGGGCUUUUCAAAGAUUGUGACUCUACUUACCAGUCUGACACAGAAGGGCGUCAAGUUUAUUUGGAGCGACGAGUGUGACCAAAGCUUCAACGAGUUGAAGAAAAGGUUGACGUCGGCUCCAAUACUCGCCUUACCGGUGCAGGGCGAGGACUUUGUAGUCUAUAGUGAUGCAUCCUAUCUGGGUUUGGGGUGUGUCCUGAUGCAAGGCGGGAGAGUGAUAGCUUAUGCGUCCCGUCAGCUGAAGGACCACGAGAAGAACUACCCCAUCCAUGACUUGGAGUUGGCGACGGUGAUCUUUGCGCUGAAACUGUGAAGGCACUACCUGUAUGGUGCGCACUGCGAGAUCUACACCGACCACAAAAGUCUGAAGUAUUUAUUUACCCAGAAGGAGCUAAACAUGCGGCAGAGGCGGUGGUUAGAGCUGUUAAAGGAUUACGAUGUCGAUAUCCUCUACCACCCCGGCAAGGCAAAUGUGGUCGUGGAUGCGCUUAGCAGGAAGUCGGCGAAGAACCUCGCUUUUGAUGUUACCCAGCAAACACCUUUAUGGUUGGAUAUAGAGCGAUUGGACCUUGAAGUAGUCGCUCCCGAGGUCCCGACUCGGUUGAUGGCACUCGUUGUUCAACCGAUCUUAUUGGAGAGGAUCAAGAAAUUGCAACCUACGGAUCCGAAUCUCCAAAAGGUACGGCGCAAUAUCGAGGAAGGUCGAGGUGGUGAUUUCAGUGUGGACGUCGGUGGCGCGUUUCGGUUUCGAAACCGGUGGUGCGUGCCCGAAAGUGAAGAGCUUCAUGAGCUGAUUUUGCAAGAAGCCCACCGGUCUCCAUACGCGGAUCACCCGGGCGGCACCAAGAUGUAUCAUGAGUUAAAAGCACUCUAUUGGUGGUCAGGGAUGAAGGCUGAUAUUGGGCACUUCGUGGCGAAGUGUUUGACUUGUCAGCAAGUAAAAGCGGAGCGCCGGUUUUCAGCGGGGAAGCUUCAAAGCCUACCUAUUCCCAUCUGGAAGUGGGAGGACAUAUCUAUGGAUUUCAUCGUUGGCUUGCCUCGCUCGACAGGGGGCCACGAUGCAAUCUGGGUGAUUGUAGAUCGCCUGACGAAGUCAGCACACUUUUUGCCGAUCCACACCACCUGGGCAGGAGAUAGAUUAGCGCAUAUCUUGAUGAAGUAGUGAGGCUACACGGGGUACCGAAGUCAAUCGUGUCGGAUAGAGACCCCAAGUUUACUUCACAUUUUUUAAAAAGCCUGCAGGAGGCCCUUGGCACACGGCUCGAUUUCAGCACUGCAUUUCAUCCCCAGACAGAUGGGCAAACGGAAAGAACCAUUCAGACUCUGGAGGACAUGGUGCAAGCUUGUGUCAUUGACUACAAAGGAGGCUGGUGUAAGUACUUGCCAAUGGCCGGUUCCCCUAAGGUCCUCACUGCGUGAGCUUUGAUGCAACCGGUCCCCUGAGAUGAGAGACCGGUUCCCGAACCUUGGUAUUUCUAUCGCUCAGCGAGGGACCGGUCUCAAUCUUGAGAGACCGGUUCCCGAACGUUGUGAUUUUGGUCACGCAGCGAGGGACCGGUUCCUCACUUGAGAGACCGGUCUCUCACAGACCGGUCUCCUCGAGAGGACCGGUCUCUGAGGACGACACAGGUUUUUAAAAAGGACUUUUUGCAAUCCUAGUCUACUUCUAAGUCUUCUAAACAUAUAAAUAAGCUAUGUGGGUCAUCUAAAAGUUUAAGGCUUUGAAUAUUUACUGAUUCUAAACCCUAGAAACUUGUUUUUCCGUUUCAAUGCAUCUAUUCACAUAGCGAGUUUCUAACAAUCAACUAUCAGCUUGAUUCUUCGUUUUUACUCGAGAACUCAUACGAGAAUCAAGUAGAUGUUUGAUUAAAGGUGAACCCUCAUAGCCUAUGGUAAUCAAAGAUUAAAUCACCACAAAUUUGUGAUUCUACAAGCUCCGGAAGGAGGUUCGGCGCGUGGAUCUCGCGUGAAGCCGAGGAUUCGGUGGACGCUUCGAGGAGUUGAGGCGUUGACGCUGCGAGGAGUUGCGGCGAGGUCGAUUGGUGGAUUCCUAUCGAUCGAGGACCGGCGAAGAACACCAUCAACAAGAAAUCGGUAAAUUGAGUCGUGUAUUUUUGUCAAAAUCACUUGUACUCAAGUUUUCUUAGUGGAUUUUCUUCGCGUGGUCGGUCCCGUGGGUUUUUCACUCCGAAUUGGAGUUUUCCCACGUUAAAUUCUCGGUGUGCUAUUUUUUUUUCUGCUAUCUAGUUUUAUUUGCAUCGAGAUUUUUGAGUUUGCCGGUUUUACACCUAUUCACCCCCCUCUAAGUGUUUCUUACCUUUUAGAUCAUCGGGAUCCAUAUCUUUCAAGUGGUAUCAGAGCGGGUAUAGGUUGUAAUUCAUGGCCGAGGGCGGUAACAUUAAUCGACCCCCUCUUUUCGAUGGCACUAAUUACGCUUAUUGAAAAGUCCGUAUGAGGGCGUUUCUUAUUGCUAUCGACGAGCGGGUAUGGCAAGCCAUUGAAUUCGGGUGGAAACAUCCUACCGAAGUUGUCGAGAAUGUUACCAGUCCGAAACCUAGAAAUAAAUGGACGAAAGAGGAAAACGAACUAUUUUUGUUCAAUGGGAAAGGUAUCAAUGCUUUAUUCAAUGCUUUAAAUCAAACUGAAUUUUCUCGCGUCUCGGCGUGUGAAACUGCCAAAGAGAUUUGGGACACUUUGCAAGUUACACACGAAGGUACAAGCUUGGUUAAGAUUCAAAAAUUGCAAAUGCUUACUAGUAGAUUUGACUCCAUUCGUAUGGAAGAACAUGAAUCUUUUACUGAGUACUAUACUCGUUUGCAAGAUAUAGUAAACACGUGUGCCAACUUGGGCGAGAAAAUUUUCGAUUCCAAAAUUGUUCGAAAAAUUUUGAGGACCCUUCCCGAACGAUUUCGUUCUAAGGUUGCGGCUAUUGAAACGGUUAAACAUCCUGAUGAACUCAAGGUAGAAGAAUUAGUAGGUGCACUUCAAACCUAUGAAAUGACCUUUCCUUGUAACUCGUCUUCUUCCAAGUCUUUUUCUAAGGCUUCAGGGAUGGCUCUAAAAUCAACAAAAGGAGAUAUCACUUCAACUUUAUCAGAUUCUGAGUCGGAGCAAACCCUGGAGGACUUUGGAAAGCAACUAGCGCUUCUAACAAAGAAGUUCCGUUGGAACUUUAGAAAGAAGUUUCCUCCCAAGUCUACUUCUUCCAAGUCAAGCAAAUCAAAAGGGGGUUCGUCUUCUUCUUCCUCAUCAAAAUACAGAAAAUCGGAUAACUUUCAAAAGGACUCUACAAAAGAGAAGAAAAGCAGUGAAGGUCAAAUUCAAUGCUACAAGUGUAGGGGCUUUGGCCAUAUUGCAUCUGACUGUCCUAAUAAAAAAUCGUUGAAGAAGAAAGCGAUGCAAGCUAUUACUUGGGACGAUUCCUCAUCUGACGAUUCCACUUCAAGUGAAGAGGAUGUAAAUGCUACGGCACUGAUUGCACAGGAUUCAACUUUCAUGUGUUUAGCAUCUGCUGAAUCUAUCUCUAUGUCAUCCCUACAUGAGAAGUCAUCUUCGGAGAACUCAUCAGAUGAAGAAUCGGACGAAGACGACAUGGUUGCAGCAUAUCAACAAUUGGUUGUUGAAUCAAAGAAGGUGGCUAAACAUAACAAGAGACUGCGGCGAAGUCUACAUGAGUUGGAACAAGAAAAUUCAAAAUUGGCCUCACUAACAAAGGAUCUAGAGCAAGAAAAAGAUGGUUUGACCAAGGCAUACAACUCUUUAUUUGAGAAGUGUUCGUUACUUGAAAAGGAAAAAGAGACUCAGAUGGAGAACAUCAAUUUUCUCACCAAGCAAUACUCGGAAGCUAGAGAAGCAAAUAUGGAAUUCACCAAGACGAUCAUUCAAUUGAAGUCGGAUUUGAACCAAUUUUUGUCUGGCUCAAGUAAACUAGACAAGAUGCUUGGACUUGGUCAAACAAACAAACUUGGACUUGGUUAUGAACGGACGUAUAUUGAUCAAGUAACGAAGAAAGAUGAUGGAAAUUCGUCAAAAACAGUUCCUAAACUUUAUGGUAAGUUCGUUCCUCCUAAAAAUAAUUUGACUAACAAAACUUGUCAUAUUUGUGGUGUUUUAGGACACAUAAAGAAGUUUUGCAAGCAAAAGGGAAAGAGCUCAACAACACCCUUGAACCAAAGAACAUCGCCCAUGAAGAUUAAUCCUAUAUUAAAAGGGAAGUCAAAUUGGACUUCAGAGAAGAUCGAUCAUAAGAAGAAACAAACGUGGACACCAAAUGCGCCGAAAUCAAUGGCAAAACAAGCAUGGAAACCAAAGAAGGAGGAUAUGAAGAAGAAGUCAAUUCAAAUCGUCGACAAGCCAACAUCAACAAAAGCAAGCAAACCGUUGCAAUCCAAAACACGUAAGGUUUGGGUGCGCAAAGGUGAACUCUUCCCAUACUUAGUCAUUCACACUUCGCUUCAUGCUUACGAUAAUACUUCAUGGUAUCUGGAUAGUGGCUGUUCCCGCCACAUGACCGGAGAUAAAAAUUGGUUUACUUCUUUGAACAAAAUCUCUGGAGGACUUAUUAUUUUUGGAGACGGUCGGUCAUCAAAAAUUGUUGGAAAAGGAACAGUGACUAUCUCAGAUGGCCCUACUUUGAAUGAUGUUUUCUAUGUUGAGGGGCUGAAAUCUAAUCUUGUAAGCAUAAGCAACUGUGUGAUGAUGGGUAUUCUGUGAAUUUUUCCGAUAAAGAAUACCAUGUGACUCGUGAUGACAAUCUUUUCUUAAAGGGCAUUAGAUCUCAGAAUAACUGUUAUGUAGUUCCUAAUUCUUCGACUGAACAUUGUAACUUAGCGUCAUUAGAAACUGAGACUUUAUGGCAUGAACGACUAGGCCACAAAAAUUUUAAGGAGCUAUCCAAGAUAACUAAGAAGGAGGUUGUCAGAGGUGUACCUAAGAUUGACUUUAAAGAGAACAUUGUGUGUGGGGGUUGUCAAUUGGGGAAACAAACUAGGUCCGCACAUAAGAAUUUGAAUCACUUAGGGACAUCUAAACCUUUAGAAUUACUUCAUAUGGAUUUGAUGGAACCAUUUAGGAUUCAAAGUUUGGGUGGAAAACGUUAUAUUUUGCUCAUUGUUGAUGAUUUUACUCGUUUUGCUUGGAGUGCCUUCUUACGAGAAAAAGCUGAUACUUUUGAUUCUUUUUCUGAAAUCUGUCUUCGUCUUAUGACUGAACGGAAUGAUAAAAUUGUACGUAUUCGAAGUGAUCAAGGGGGAGAAUUCAUAAAUUCAAAAUUUGUUGAUUUUUGUGUUUCAAAUGGCAUUAAACAUGAAUUCUCGGUUCCUUAUACACCCCAACAAACGGAGUGGUUGAGCGCAAGAACUGGGUUGUACAGGAGAUGGCUCGUGUUAUGCUUCAUAGUAAGAAAAUUGCUUUACACUUUUGGGCCGAAGCAGUGAACACGGCUGUCUAUGUUAUCAAUCGGAUUUAUGUGCGCUCGGGUACUUUGAAUACUCCUUAUGAACUUUGGCUUGGUAGGAAACCUAAUGUUAAAUACUUUCGUGUCUUCGGGUGUAAAUGUUUUAUCCUUCAGGAUCGUGAAAAUCUUGAAAAAUUUGACUCCCGAAGUGACGAAGAAAUUUUUCUUGGUUAUUCUACUACAAGUCGUGCUUAUCGUGCGUACAAUUUACGAUCUAAGACGGUGAUAGAAUCUAUUAAUAUAAAAGUAGAUGAAGCUUCUUCUGUAAGUUCUUUUGUGAAUGGUUCUUCUAACUCGAUGAAUGAUGAUGAUAAUGAUUCUCCGUUUGUAUUGCCUGUGAAUGAUGAUGUUUCUGCACUUGACAAUUCCAUUACAUCUUCUGAAAAUGUUGCUUCAAAUGAUUCAUCUGAGCCUCAAAUCACCUCAUCUGAAAUUCCAAGCAUAUCUCCUGAGACUACACCCCUGACAGAGUCGAGAGAUCAUCCGUUAUCGAAUGUAAUUGGGGAUCCUAAUGUUGGAGUGCGAACAAGAAGUCAACUACAAUGUGAAUUUGCAUGGUGUGUAUCUUUGAUUGAGCCAAAGAAUAUUGACGAAGCUUUACGUGAUGAAUAUUGGAUAAAUGCAAUGCAAGAAGAACUUGGUCAAUUCGUUCGCAAUGAUGUAUGGGAAUUAGUGCCUCGUCCUGAGCAACAACAUAUCAUAGGCACCAAAUAGAUCUUUAAGAAUAAGAAAAAUAAGGAUGGUACUAUUGUUCGGAACAAAGCGAGACUUGUUGCUCAGGGGUACUCACAAAUUGAGGGAAUAGACUUUGAUGAAACCUUUGCCCCGGUUGCCCGUCUUGAAUCUAUUCGUAUCUUGUUCACGAUUGCCUGCCAUUUUAAAAUCACUCUUUUUCAAAUGGAUGUUAAAAGUGCGUUUCUAAAUGGAUUUUUAAAGGAGGAAGUUUAUGUUGAACAACCGAAAGGUUUUAUAGACUCAAAAUUUCCAAAUCACGUUUUUCGACUGAAAAAGGCACUUUAUGGACUAAAAUAGGCUCCACGCGGAUGGUACGAACGCUUGACAAAAUAUCUUUUGGAAAAGAGCUACAACCGAGGGGGAGCGGAUAGAACUCACUUUGUAAAACACUUGAAGGAUAAUUUCAUUGUGGCACAAAUCUAUGUAGAUGACAUAGUUUUUGGGGCUACUAAAGAUAAGGAUGCCGCUGAUUUUGCAAAGUUAAUGACCAGCGAGUUUGAGAUGUCGAUGAUGGGGGAGCUUAAUUAUUUCCUUGGACUUUAAGUUAAACAAUCAAAAGAUGGAAUUCAUUUGUCUCAGACCAAGUAUGCAAAGGAACUGGUUAAAAAAUUUGGAUUGGACAAUGCAAAGGAUUUGACACUCCAAUGGGUAUAAGCAACAAAGGACUGGGAUUGAAUUCAGAAGGUCAGAGUAUGGAUGAGAAACAAUACAGAAGCAUGAUUUGUAGCCUAUUGUACUUGACUGCGAGCAGACCAGAUAUUGCGUUUAGUGUUGGAAUUUGUGCUCGUUAUCAGGCUAACCCUAAGGAAGUACAUCUGAAAGCAGUUAAAAGGAUCAUUCAGUAUGUUAAAGGAACAACUGAGUAUGGCCUCUGGUAUCCUAUGGGAACAUCUCUUGAUUUUAUCGGCUACUCUGAUGCUGACUGGGCAGGCUCCGCAGAUGAUCGGAAAAGUACUAGUGGAGCUUGUUUUUACAUUGGACACUGUUUGGUCGCUUGGCACAGUAAGAAACAAAAUUGUAUUGCACUUUCCACUGCAGAAGCUGAAUACAUUGCGGCCGAAAGUUGCUGUACUCAAUUGAUCUGGAUGAAGAGCUUACUAAGCGACUAUCGAAUCCCUUCCACCACCUUUACUAUUCUUUGUGACAACACAAGUGCCAUUAAUAUUUCUAAAAACCCUGUUUUACAUUCUCGAACAAAACAUAUUGAACUAAGAUAUCACUUUUUAAGAGAACUGGUUGAAUCAAACAUUUUAUAACUUGAAUAUAUUUCAACUGAAAAUCAACUUGCAGAUAUUUUAACCAAACUUUUGGAUCAAAAGCGUUUUCUGCAUUUAAGAAAGGCAAUUGGUAUGAAUCCUUCAAUCUAGAUAUAUUCUUGUGGGCUAUAGAUCAUAUGCAUGUUGCAUUUUUAUCUGCAUGUAUUCCGGUGUUUUCUGAUUAUACUUAAGAGAGGAUUGAAUUUCGUGAAUAAUAUUGCAUUUUUGGGAGAUGAAUUGGUCUGUGAUUUUAAUUAUUUCAUAUUUAAUUUUUGAUUGAUCACUGUCAAGGUUGUUCUAUAUUGUCAUAAUUGUUGAACGAUCAAAUCAUUGAGAUUCUGCUUUGCAUACUGAAUCAAAUUAAACACCUCAUGCUUCGAACUUUGAAUGUUGCUACUAUUUGUCUGAUUAUGAGUUUUGAGAUGAAUAACUUUUUCUCUGUUUUUGAAAUUGAAAUAAUAUUUUUGACUUGAGGGUUGCACUAAUUUAGGGGGAGUCUUUCCAAUUUUUGGUUAUUAAAGUUUCUGAGAUUCAAGAUGUGGAAAGAGUUACAUCCCUGCUGGGAGUGUGAAAACUACCACCACAUGGAGGAAAGAGCUACCACCCUGGUCGUCCGGUCAGUGUGUGCAGCUACCACAUGUUGAUUAAAGUAUCUAUAUAAGACAAAAGGAAAGUACCUUUCAGAGAAGAAAAAUUUAAAAAAAAUAUGCUCAAAGAGCUAUACAUCUUGUAGGUGAUAUUUGGUGGAAUGUCAAUAAAAAGAUGCUCAAAGAGCCACUCCUGUCUCGAAUAUUGUGCAUAACUAAAUUUGAACAUAUUAUGCUGAUUUCUCGAUUCUGAGGAUUAUUUAUUCAUUUUCUUUAACAAAAUAUGAUGGUAAAAUGAUACAAUAAGUUCCUAGAUCUUGCAUGAUGUGUGGAAUUUUAUUUUAUAUGUAUCAAAAAUUUUCAUUGAUUUUCGGGUCAACAAUUUUGUAAGUUUGAAUAUCCCUGAAAUUGAUUUUUCAAAAUUUAUUUAUGAAAUUUUGUUUGAAGUUUUUGGGCUGGAAAUUGGUUCUUUUUGAUGAUUGAACAUUGUGAAAUAUUUUUUAAUUUUUCUGGAAUUCUCGGGCCUCAGUUUAAAAUUUUUCUAAAAUUUCAGGCUCUGGGACCGGUCCCAGGUGGGAGAGACCGGUCCCUCCGCCAGACCCGAUAAAGGGCUUAUCGCACGAUCUGUUUUUGUACGCGUUUUUUUUUUUCUCCUGCUUUCCUCCCUGGCGCUUCUCUUGUCUCCAGAUCAGGGUUUCCUCUUGUUUCUCCUUGGUUUGCAUUGAUUUUAGGUAUGAUUUUCGGGUUUUGUUGCGUUCAUGUCAUAUACUCAGAAAAUGUGUCUCAUUUCAGAUUUUUUGAUGAUUGGUCUAGAGAUCUUGCUAAAAAUGCAUGUUUAUGCUUCGAUCUUGUUAUUAGACCUGUUGUUUUCAUAUUUUCUGAAAUUUCUUUAUCUUUUUGGUCAAGUUUUGUAGGUUUUUCAUCAUCAAAAUCUUGGUUUUCAAAGUUUUCGUGAAAAAUUUGUUUAUGCUGAUUUUGAUGCAUGAUUUGUUCAUGUUUCUCAUGAUUAUGUGGCCCCUAGGAUUAUUUCGUAUUUAUAUACCAAUUUGCUAAAAAUUUUUGGAAUUAAAAAAAAUAAAAUAAAAUACAUGUGUUUCAUAUGUAAAGUUCAUUAUGUUUAACAGGUGAUUUUCGAAAAUGUACUCGUGGAUUCUUGUGCUUGUUGUUCUUAUGGCUGGGGGUGGUCGCGAAAGCAAACGACAGCGCUCCAAAGCUAAACGGCCGAUUGAGUAUCAACCGGAAGAUGAAGAGAGCGAAUAUGCUCCAGGCGACGACUCUGAGGAGGAGGAGCCGGAUUGGGAGGCUUUUGUUCCCGAGGGGUUAGCUAAGGAUAAGGAUACAGGGAAAGGCAAGGGAAAAGGAAAAGCCGUGGAUAAAGGCAAAGGAAAGGCAGCUGAACGUCCAGGUCGUCGUAAGUCUGGAGGUGUUGACAUUAGAGAACACGGUUCUGAGCCUUCGCGUCACAGUCUACAGGAUGUUCCAUCUGCUCGACGGUCAAUGUACUCGUCGAAACACUGUAUUGGUGAGCGAGAUGUUGGAGUUGCCAGUAUCAUUAGCUGUGUGCCGGGAUUUCAGGAUUUAUUUGAACAGGGAAAUCUUCAUCAGAUUUGUGAUUUCCCGGAACAAACCGGUUUCUGUUUGGAGUUGAUCAGAGAAUUCUAUAUAAGAGCAGGUCACCUGAGUGACUCCGACGGCGGCCCGUACGUAUUUAAAACUUCCGUACGUGGUGUUGAGUUAUCAAUCACUCCUGAUAUGAUAGCGUCUGUACUAGGAAUGGAAGCAAGAACUGAGGGAGUGGAAUAUCUGCAGGCCGGGUUCGACUCACUUCGCGAUUGAAACCGUAUAGUGAACACUAUUUGCAUGCCGGGUACUGAGUCCAACGGAAUUAUGGUUAUGUCCAAAGAUUUCAAAAUGGAAUAUAGGUUUCUGAACUUCGUGGUUUGCUACAAUAUUUUGCCUCUUGCGAACACGAAGAUUCUGAGAUGGGAUCGUAUUCUGUAUAUGUAUCUCUUGGGAAGGCCGGAUAUUGUAAGUGCCAAAAAUAUUAACAUGAAUAUUCCGUUUCUGAUCUCAUGGAGAAUGGCAAAGGACAUCAAGACUUCUGGGCAAAAUGAAAGAAUGCCCUUUCCAUUGAUAAUUAUGAGGAUUCUGCGACUUCAUGAUGUGGAUGUCCGGUGUACAUCUUAUGAGCAUAGUUUGGGUCGGAUAAAUGAAAGGACAUUUGUGAAGUCCUCGGUGCAGCUUCAUACCCCAUCUCAGCGCGCUUCUUCCCCUCCUGCUGCUCCACCUCCUACUACUGCUACUUCUUCACGUCCUUCUAUGGACAUUUCCGAGGAAGAUAUCUCAGUUUCCUCUGUGUAUCGUGAGCAACAACGGUUGUCUGAGGAGCUUCAGAAAUUGUUUGCGGAGCAGGCUGCGAUACGGAAGGAUGUGAGCAAGAUGAAGCGAUUACUCAAUAUGAUUUUUGACAAAUUAGGGUGUUGCAGAGCAGAUUUACCCCCAGGGGAUGCUUCAGAUUAGAUGUUAUGGGUUUACUCCUUUUGUCGUUUUGGCGCUUUCUGACAAAAAGGGGGAGAUGAAUACAUGAUGAUGGAUGGCUCGAUGAUGAUGAAGCGUUUAGUUUAGAUUUGAUUUACUUUGCAUAAGUUGUGUAAAUUUAGUUUAGAUGUUUGCUUGGGUGCUUGACUAUGAACUGACUUGGUGACUUGGUACUAUUUUGAUGUUUAUGUUUGAUUAUGUUUGAUCUUGAUAAGUAUACUUGAAAGUCUGUAUUAAGGUUGUAAAAGUGUAAUUUUCAUUUAUUGGAUCGAUCAUGUAGGAGAUUAUCGUUUGGUGAUUGCGAUGAUCUUCUUUUUAUUAUUUUUGAGUUGUGUACGAACUUUGUAAUAUAUUUUGUCACAAAAUCGCCAAAGGGGGAGAUUGUUAAGGAUUUUAUAGGUUGGCGGAUUUCAUAAUGUUGAAUGGAGUCUUGAAGAGUUGAUUGCGGAAGAUUGAAGAAAAGAUCUAAAUUGAAGAACAAAGACUCACUCGUAAAGUUCGACACCUAAGGUAUGAAGAAAAGAUCAUUUGUGGUGAAGAUACUUAAUUAGAAUAAGUUCAGAAGGCUUAGAUUGCUUUAAAAAUAUUUUACUGAACUUUUCUGUAUUCAGGGACCGGUCCCUGAGUUCCAGAGACCGGUUCCCCUAAGGUCCUCACUGCGUGAGCUUUGAUGCAACCGGUCCCCUGAGAUGAGAGACCGGUUCCCGAACCUUGGUAUUUCUGUCGCGCAGCGAGGGACCGGUUUCAAGCUUGAGAGACCGGUUCCCGAACGUUGUGAUUUUGGUCACGCGGCGAGGGACCGGUUCCUCACUUGAGAGACCGGUCUCUCACAGACCGGUCUCCUCGAGAGGACCGGUCUCUGAGGACGAAACAGGUUUUUAAAAAGGACUUUUUGCAAUCCUAGUCUACUUCUAAGUCUUCUAAACAUAUAAAUAAGCUAUGUGGGUCAUCUAAAAGUUUAAGGCUUUGAAUAUUUACUGAUUCUAAACCCUAGAAACUUGUUUUUCCGUUUCAAUGCGUCUAUUCACAUAGCGAGUUUCUAACAAUCAACUAUCGGCUUGAUUCUUCGUUUUUACUCGAGAACUCAUACGAGAAUCAAGUAGAUAUUUGAUUAAAGGUGAACCCUCAUAGCUUAUGGUAAUCAAAGAUUAAAUCACCACAAAUCUUCGAUUCUACAAGCUCCGGAAGGAGAUUCGGCGCGUGGAUUUCGCGUGAAGCCGAGGAUUCAGUGGACGCUUCGAGGAGUUGAGGCAUUGACGCUGCGAGGAGUUGCGGCGAGGUUGAUUAGUGGAUUCCUAUCGAUAGAGGACCGGCGAAGAACACCAUCAACAAGAAAUCGGUAAAUUGAGUCGUGUAUUUUUGUCAAAAUCACUUGUACUCAAGUUUUCUUAGUGGAUUUUCUUCGCGUGGUCGGUCCCGUGGGUUUUUCACUCCGAAUUGGAGUUUUCCCACGUUUAAUUCUCGGUGUGCUAUUUUAUUUUCUGCUAUCUAGUUUUAUUUGCAUCGAGAUUUUUGAGUUUGCCGGUUUUACACCUAUUCACCCCCCUCUAGGUGUUUCUUACCUUUUAGAUCCUCGGGAUCCAUAUCUUUCAGGGACAGACGUAGUUAUCCCGCAGACAGCUCCGGGUGAGAGUAGCGGACGUCUCCUCGCAAUGCGGAGUUGGAUAUGUGAGUCGGGGCUUAACCUUCGGGUGAGCCGGAUGGAUUGGAUUAUGGAAACAAAGGUAAAUGGCAUGCAUCAUGAGCAUAGUAGAUACUAUUACUUGUUUACCUUACUUGUUCAUUAUUGUUCAUAUUGCAAAGCAUAGUAGCAUUGUAGAAUACUGUUUUAUCGCUAACCUAUCUACUUUUGCCUGCUUAGAACUAGUGGGAAAAUCGGCGGCGUCGGUAGUGGAACCCACUGGAAACUAUUUAUGUCACGCCCCGCCCCGAAACCACUACCCAUUUGGCACGGUUCGGCCGCGGCGGCGGAUUGCCGAACGGACAGCGCCUCCCCUGCCCGCCCAAGGCUCAACAACAAGAAUGUGUAUAAGAAUUUACCCAAGAAAUUAAAUUCUAAACAUACACAUUCACAAGGGCACAACCAGUGCCAACAAUACAAAGAGUAAGUAAUCCACAAGAUAAAGCAUGUGAAAUAAAGAGAGUACUUUACUAACUAUUACAAUAGUUUCAUCAUUUUUAUUUACAUCCUUUCUUUAAAUGUUUACAUAACUCAUCCAAAAUAAAUAGCUCUCCAAAAUCCUCACCUACAAUGAAUCUCUCUCAGUACAUAGGUGAACUAAUGCAAAAGGAAAGCAACUAUACUACCACGGUCUCACUGAUCGGGCGCGAUGCCCUUGCCGCGGUCCUCCUUCGGCAGCCCUGUACCUACCACUGGAAAUAGAGUGGGGUGAGAACUAUCUUCCAUAGUUCCCAGUGUCUGCCGAUCUCCCCACUAGGUCCAAGUGGGCACAAAUAACAACAGAUAGAUUCUAAGGUACCGGACUUCUAAAAUUAUGAAGUUACGGUGUACAUUUAAAUGGUCCCGGUGAGGUCCGGAAGCAUUCGGGCGUUUUCAGUACGCGUAGGAGCUAAAACGGAGCCGAAAGGCCAUGUUGGGCCGUGAGCCAAAUCCGACAUUAGCGUGGAUGAAAAGAUGAUGAAAAUAUGCUCGAAAACAUGUUUGGAGAGUCUUGGUUCGAUUUGAAAAGAAUCGGAGGUCAAACGAGCGAAAACGGAGAAAAAACUGUGAAAAAGCUAAAAAUUUGGCCAAGUCCUUAAAGGCUGGAAUUCUGGACCUACGGGGACCGGUCCCCCAAGUCCAGGGACCGGUCCCUAUACAAAAAAUGGCCCCUGCGGGGGCAAUGUAAUAAAAUGAAAGUUGAGGGGCCUAAUUGCACUUUGGGCUUUAUGAGAGUGUACAGAGAGGGCUCUUUCUCUCUUCCUCUCAUUUCCCUCACUCCAACACCACCUCUCUCUCUCUCUUAACGUGAAGAAGAAGAAGAGGAGAAAGAAGAAGAAAAGGAAAAGAAGAGAAGAAAGGAAAGAGAAUGAAGAAGGAGGAGAAGAGAAUCACCACCACCAUCAUCAUCUUCUUCUUCCUCUCAACCUUGGAACAAACCUAGAGAGGUAAGCUUCUAGGGCUCUAAUGGUAACUUCUUAGGGUUUGGUUUAU
rnacentral:lncRNA from 1 species